UUUUUUUUUUUUUUUUUGUUGAAUUGAUUUCAAACUAGAAGUCUAAAUGCCUCAUAAUGUAUAAGACUGUAUAGUAAUCAGUAGUUUUUAUCUCUUAAACGCUUCAAAGUUGAAAAUUUUUAAAAACGAAGCAACUAGCAAGAAGAAAAGAGAAUAUUCCAAAAAUUUCAAAAGCAUGAUGAUUCUCUUGACUUUUCAGAUGAAUACUAGGAAACAAGACAUCUAUAAGUUGGGAAGAAACAAAAAUAAGUUUUAAAAAAAUAGUUGGAGAGGGAGCAAGCCAGUAGAUGUAUUCAGUAAGUGAAGUGCAACGAACAUUAGUUUGAAUAAAUUCUGAUUACAUUCUUUAAGAUAGUCCUUUUUAAUUACAUUCUUCACUAGUUUCUUAAAUUGAUGGAUUGCAAAUAUUGUAUGCAAUUAUAAAUAAUUCAACAAUGUUAGCAAAAUAGAUUCUAAACAAUCGAAUAUAACCAAUAUUGUAUGUAUACCUUUACUUAAUCCAUCUAAUCUAAAUGACCGAACUCCUAAAUCCUAAUCGUAUUUCAUUAUGACAUAAGAUAACUCCUAUUUGAUUUGCACUGCAUUCUUAUUGGUUGCUCUAUUCUAUUGCCAAUUAAUUACUACUCUAAAUUACCCGUCACAAACAAUCAGGUAGGUACAAUUUAAUCCCAUAAAAGUUGAGAAUAGUUUUAAAGUUUUAAUUAUUACUGCAAUAAAACAACCAAUAAAUUUUAUUUUCGAUUUUAGGGCAUUUUGUUCUUUUUGGAUGAUUACAUAUCUUUCCAGCUUUUAUACAAAGCAAACAACAAAAGCACUCCAAAACAAGUAUCAAGUACAAAACACUAACCCGCCGUUCUCGGGUGUUACAUUUAAAAUUUAACUUCACAUCACCAGCAUGUAUAAUUGAUACUUGCUUAUGGUUAAUUUUCUGAUUUUUUUUAAGGGAAUAUGCUCCCAUAAUUUUUAAUAGUAUUGGAAAACUAUAAUUCUUGGACAAUAGAGAGCUACUCCCUCCGUCCCGUUUUGUUAGUCUUGGUUUUUUUUUUCACACAGAUUAAGAAAGUGUAAUUAAUUUGGUUGGAAACAUAAAUUUAGAUUAAUAAUUUCCUAAAAUACCCUUAUGCUAAUUACGAAGAGUCAAUUAAUAUCAGUUACAACUAAUGGUGCCAAUAAAUAUCAGUUACCGCCAAUAGUGCACCCUGAUUGUUUCAAUUACCGCCAAUAGUGCCAAUAAAUAACAAAGAUAAACUUUUCAUUUAUCUAUGUAUUGGAAAAGCUCAAAUGUAUUCAAUGUAGUGGGUUAGUAUUUAAUAACAAUGUAUUAAUAACAAGAUAUUUAAUAAGGGUAUUUUAGACAAUUUGAAAGAUUACUACAUUUCUUAAUGGGAAAGUGGACUACAAUUUGGGACAGACAAAAAAGGAAAACAAGACUAACAAAACGGGACGGAGGGAGUAUUACAUGAACAAUUUUAGAAGGUGCACACAGAAAAGUUAAAGGGACUAAAAUUUAUUUGAGCAAUUUCUACACGAACAUAUUAGGAAUAUUCAUGUUAUUUUCAAUUGAAUUUUUGUAAUUAUGUUGUUGCUAUUAUUCCUUCUCAUCAUAAUAAGCUUAAAUUCAAAAGGUGUAAUAGAAAACUAAAAAGAUGAUUAAAAUUAAUCUAAGCCAUUACUGCAUGAACAUAUUAGAAAUAGUUAUAGUAUUUUAAAUUGGAACCAUACUAACUUUACAUGUUUUUAUCUAUUUAACUUUGUAAAAAACUUGAAGAGAAUUUCUCGGUCUUGAUUUAGUAGUAUUUUUUUUAGUUACAUUAUUGUUAUUGAUCCUUUUUUAUCAUGAUGAAUUUUAGGCUUUUUUUUCUUCACUUUAUUGUCCUCGACUUCUAAAAUUUUGAACAAAAAUGCUCUAUGUUUUUAGACCUGAAAGUUUAAUUGCUCCAAAUUUCCUUUUUUUUUUAAGUAUUUAAAGAAAUGACGUAUCUAUACAAUUUCAAUGAUUGAAAUACUUGGUCAUCCUUCAUAUGUAUACUUACCAAUUUAGAUGCAAGAGUGUAGCCUUAUUCUAUCAACGGCUAAACUGAAUUCAAUUGCCUGAUCUUUUGUUUGUUCAAUUCUACAAUUUCUUUCAAAUUAUAAGAAAUUAUUAGGCAAAGAAGUUAAUGGUCUUGGUUUAUAAGUUUUGAGGCUCUAUGCCUCAUUUGUUGCCCAUAUUUGAGGUGUUAUCACUUUAGGUAAUCUAAUUUUAGAUUGGAUCUCUAUUGAUUUUACUGAAAUAGUUGAGAAAAAUUUCCAUUCUUGGUAUGAUGGUAUUUAUGGUAUUUAAAGAAGGACGGAGCUCUUCUUCAUAACCCUAAUUCCAGAAAUCAUUACCUAAAUUAAUCAUUCCAAAAAUGGCUUCUGCCCCGCUAUUGUCAAGGGUUCUCCGGGUGUAUCGUGCCGCCAAGAAAGCUGCCACAAAAGCUGGUAAGACCUAUCUCGCCGCCGUGAAGGAAGUUGACAAGAAAUACUGAUGUCUGCUGAAUUUUUCGAAGAUCGUGAUUAGAUCAAAAGCGGAUUUGGAGGUUGUUAUCAAGGUGAAGCGGGCCAAUCCGAAUUGGGAGGUGAAAGUUAAAGUUCCAACGAAAUACAAGGCCAAUGGCUAAGAUAAGCAGUCGGAACAAUGCCUCCGGGCAAUCGCUCGUGAGGCUGAAAUAGAGUUUGUGUCUAGAAAAGUUAGGGGAGGGUGAGGUUUUAGGAGAAUAUUAAGGAAAUGGGGUUAGGGUAUGGGGUAGUAGGGGGUAUGGGGUAGGAAGCAUCUUCUUGAUGCAUUUGACGAUGAUUUCAUAUUAAUACUUUCUGUCGUGUAAAAAUGCUAUCAUUAUCAAAUGCUUUCCUUUAAAAAAAAAAGAUGGUAUUUAAAGAAAAUAUUAUAAAUUUUCAUGUUUGGUAUUCUUACAUAUAUGCUUGUUAUACUUUAUAUCAAUCAAUUUAGUUAAAAAUGUUCAUUAACAAGUUGUCUUUACAUCAUUUUUCCUUUCUCAAGUUCAUUAAUCAUGCUCUUAUUUGUAUGUUGAGAUUAUUAUUAAAUUCAAUAAAGAAAUCACCUGCAACCAGUAGGAAGUCAUUUCUCAAGAUUGAAGUAUUAGCCCUACCAUACUAAUCGUAUAUAGAAAAAUACAAUCAUCCUUUCCAGAUAAGAAAAUAAUGUUAUACUAAAAAUGAGGAAAAAGAAAGACUAUUAGAGCAAUAAGUUUGAUUUUUGACCAAAUCAUCUAAAUUUGAUAUACAAACCAACAAAUCCCCGUUCCAUGAAGUUUAGAGAAAAACCAAGUUAAUUCACUUAGUAUCAGUUCAACUAUAUAUCACAUGCCAUGGUAGAAGGGAUUUAUUUUAAACAAAAAAAAAAGAGAAAAAACCAAUCUUUUAGAAAUCAUUUUAUAUACUCUUAAAAUAUUAAAAAUAGCCUUUGUCUCUCAAACAUUUUACAAAGUGAAAGAGAAUCACUUUGAAGUAUACAACUUUUAUGUCUAUGAUUUUAUCAAAUCUUUUAAAUUACAGCUCCUGGUUCUGCUAUUAGUUAUCAUAAUUGAAAGUAAAAGUUAUGUAUGGAGUAUACUAUUCUUAUGUAUACUAUUCUAAUUGAUUUUUCUGAUAAAUAUAGAAAGAGGGGACUUCCUAAAUUUGGUAAAUAAUCCUCUCUAAAUGUCAAUUGGAUUUGAACUUUGUUGAUUACUCUAUAUAUUUAGGACACUUUAUGCUUAUUGAGUGAAUUUAUGCACUAAUGAUUAGGUUACAAGUUAUUUAGAUUUCAAAAUAUUUAUUUAUGCUAUUUGUUUCUUGGUAAAUUCUCAGUUUUAAUUUUUUUAAAAUUUUUUUUAGCGAUAGAAUGAAGAAAAAAAAGCAUGGGGAUGGUGAGAAUGACAAUCUAAGUUACAUUUAGAGUCAAAUGCUUAUUUUCAUAUUAAAAAGAAAAAUCUGAAAAAGCAAUCUUUAUGGCAAUUAGCAUAAUUUAUAAGUGAAAAGUUAAAAAUGCUAAAUGAUUUGGUUGUCUCAAAACUAAAAAAGAUGCAGUCACAAGAAGAUGGAUUAGUUUAGACAUUUGAUUUUCUAAUAGCAAAGAUACUUAAAGUUGCCAUUUGAAAAUAUGGCGUAGAUAUGUUAAACUCCAUAAAGUUGGUUACAGAUGAUGCAAUAUCUUAACAAGGUAUAAGGUCAACCUCUCAUUAUUUCAACUUUCUACCUUAAAUAUGUUUCAUACAUAAAAGCAAGAAAAAACAUCUUCACAAAUGGAAGGUUAGUAUUUUCUACAUUCAUCAAUAGGAAAAAAAACUAUGAAAUUGUUUAGAAAAUUUUGUUUAAUUGACAUAUAUUUGCAUAUUCAUAUUGUUUCUCCUAUUAUAGAAAAAUUCCUUUCUUUCAAAGUUGAAACAUUUAUCGACUACAUGGCCUUACAUUUCUAUCUUGGGUAGGAUUUGCAAAUUUUAGUUGUGAUUGCUAUACAAAAAAAUGAGAAUAUUUUUUGUGAUUUUCUUUUUGAACUUGUUAGUUCAUUUUGCUAAUUUGCUAGAUUAUUUCAACUUUCUACCUUAAAUAUGUUUCAUACACAAAAGCAAGAAAAAACAUCUUCACAAAUGGAAGGUUAGUAGUUUCUACAUUCAUCAAUAGAAAAAAAAACUAUGAAAUUGUUUAGAAAAUUUUGUUUAAUUGACAUAUAUAGUUGCAAAUUUCUCCUAUUAUAGAAAAAUUCCUCUCUUUCAAAGUUGAAACAUUUGUCGACUACAUGGUCGUACUUUUCUGUAUUGGGUAGGAUUUGCAAAUUUUAGUUGUGAUUGCUAUACAAAAAAAUUAGAAUUUUUUUUGUGAUUUUCUUUUGAACUUGUUAGUUAAUUUUGCUAAUUUGCUAGAUUAUUUCAACUUGUAUCUAUAUAUGAAUUUGGAUUAGGCCUGUAAAGUAGACCAAAGUGUUAAUUCAGAUCUUGAAAGUGGAUUAGUCAUCUAGAUAGAAAACUUUGCUCUAGAUGAGCCUUUCCAUCAACUCAUUUUUGGUCAGUUACUUUAACCAAUUUUUAGUGGUGAUGUGAAAGCCUACUAAUUAUUUUGGCAGCUUUUGAAAGCAAUUAAUUUCCUACCUCAAUCUCCUCACUUUUGCAAAUCCCAAGUGCCCCCAUCUUGUACCCGAUGAAUUCUUAAUUAGAAAGUACUCCUCUUCAUCGUUCAUAUACCCGUGACCAACUAUCAGCACAUCAUGCUUGCUGAUCUUCUCCAUUUUUUCUUGGGUAAAUUUCCUUUUGACCCCCUAAACUAUACCCUGUUUCCCACUUCAAUCCCUAAACUUCUAAAUGGGACACUUAAGUCCCCAAACUACUGAAUCCGUCCCAAUUAAGUAUAACCGUUGACGGACUCGACAGAAUCAUCAGGGUUUUCGAGCGUGCAAAACAAGCACCGUUAGUGAGACUAGAUACGUCAUGAAAACUGAAAUAGCAAGGACAUAAUUGUAAUUUCGCUCGUUAGGUAUAAGGGGAAAAGAAAAUAGAGGGAAACAGCUUUGUUUCCAUCGUCUUCAUCGUGGAUUUGAACAGAGACAGAGAGAGAAAGAGAGAGAGAGAGAGAGAGAGAGAGAGAGGGUAUGAACGAAGUUAGCAGAUUUCUACUAAUCUAUACCCUUGACAUUCUUGUGACCGUGAGUUAGAGAUGACUGGCAUUGUAAAAUGGGAAAGUCAAGAUCGACAUUGAAGAGGGCUAAUGGAGAAAUGAGGUCGCCAGUGAAAAACAAGAAGAGAAAGGCCGUUCCCGGUAAGAGAAAUGAUAUUAAAAUGUCAUUGUUUGCUUGUUGGAUAAUAGCGUAUAUAGUAGUUGGGUUAUUGUGCUGUGUUGUCGGUUAGGUUUUGUAGUGAUAUUAUGUAAUGUAAAAAGGGCCAGAUUGACCUCUGUAUGUUAUACCCUGUUUGUGAACAAUUAUGGUAGACAAAAUUGUUUAAUGUCGAAUGUAUGGGCAAUUUGAUGAUUUGGGGUAUUUUUUAAGGAGGUAUUUUUUAAGGCAAUGUUUAUGCUGUCCAAACCGUAAUGUUCCCUGUAUUUCAGACAUUGUGGUCCCCGAUCCACUGUAAAAGGUGUAAAAAAAUUAAUUAUUGAAUUAAAAUUUUAUUUCUUUGAAUCAGGAAAUGGUGAUAGUGGAAUUUGGCCUGAAACUUUCUCCUUAAAGAUACACCAUCAAGGGACCUUUACAGACUCUCCUAACAAACAGUAUAUAGGGGGAUGGGUUGAUUUUAUAGAUAGAUGCAACCCAAAAAUGUGGUCAUUAGUAGCUCUAGACAAAUGUGGAGUCCGUCUUGGGUAUGAUGUAGAAGAUCGUUUUGGGUGGUAUUAUCUACUACCAGGGAUGACAUUGGAUACAGGCUUGGUCUUUUGUAUGUGUGAUAGGGAUUGUGAGAUGAUGGUGAACACAUUACCACCACAUAGGGUUGCGGAAGUGUUUCUUAGAGUUUUGUCACAAGGUUGUCCACAGGCUACAGCACCCUGUAGUCAAGCUAAGGGAGAUAAAGCCGAAAUGGAUAGAGACAGUGAUGUUAUAAUCAAAGACAAGGGUAUAGACACUGAUGAAGUGGAACAAGAUGGUAGAGAAAAUGUUGACAUUGAACCAGCAAAUUUAGACACUACAAAAGUGUGCACUAGCAACUGGACACCGAGAGUACCGAAUCUGUUUUCUAAAGGUUUAGACAGUAGUACUAGGCCAGAAGUAGAACCAGAAACUGCAGACAAGCAAGCAAAAAGUCUUGAUGUUGAACCAGAAAGUAUUGAAGUAGCACCAGAAACUGCAGACAAGCACGCAAAAGGUGCUGAUGUUGAACCAGAAAGUGAGGAAUUUUAUAGUGUUGCUGCUGAAAAUGAAGCAGAAUAUGAAGACGUGAAUAGCAAAGCGACUGAAACUGAAAAUUUGGUAGAAAAGAAAGCUGAUAAUAGGAGUGAUGCUGCAAAGGAACAAAAAGAUGUUGAAAGCCGUGAUGAAGCUUCAAAUGCACAAAUCAGAGAAGAAGAUGACCAAAGUAAAAACUGUAAUGAAAAUGCACAAAACACAGCCAGCAAUGAAGGUGGUGUAGGGGAAACAGAAUGUGAUGCUGCCAGACAAGAAGAGGAAGAAAAUGGAGUCAGUGUUGAUGAGAAGAUGACAGAUUCAGACUAUGAGAAUCAAGGGGGAGACAAUGACAUAUUAGAUGAAGCCAUCAAAAUUGGUCAAACAUUUGGAGGAGACCUAGGUGCACAUUCAGCUGGCCCUUCGCAUUGCAAUAAACUUGGUCUUUCUCAUUGCAGUGAGCAAAGAAAGAAGAAGGCAGGAAGGAAGAGAGACCCACCCAUUGAAAUUAACUGUUGUGAUGAUCCGGAUAUGAUUAACAUUGAUGACAUUGAAUCAGAAUAUGACUCGGAUGGUUCAUUUGAAUUGAAAAAUCAAAGUGAAUCCGAUGAAGAUGGGAAUAGUAAGACAAGGAGGCCUAGAUUUUCAGUUUUUAAUGAGCAAACAGACAUGAAGAAAUCAAAGUUUGAAGUUGGUCAGAAGUUCACAUCAGUCAUUAUAUUCAGGUUGACUGUAAGAAUCCAAGCAAUUAUGGAUGGGAGAGAUGUGUAUUUCAAGGAAAAUGAUACACGGAGGGUGAGAGUGAAAUGCAGAAGUUGUGACUGGCAGCUAUUUGGGUCUAAAAUGCAAGAUGAAAAUACCUUUCAGAUAAAAACACUUAGUGAUGAGUACACUUGUGGAAGAGUGUUCCACAAUAAAAACAUGACAUCUAGGUUGGCUAGCAAACUAUUUGUUGAUGAGGUAAGGAAAACGUCAUCUAUGACAGUGCAUGAGUUGAUAACCAAAAUAACUGAGGAGUUAAAUGUUGAUUUCAGCCUUAAGCAAGGGUAUAGAACACUUAAAAAAGUUAGAGACACUAUUCAGGGGUUCCAUUACAAACAGUACACCAUGUUAGAAUCAUUUUGUGGUGAAUUGAGGAGGGCAAAUCCGGGAUCUACUGUAUUUGUUGAAAUUGAUGUAGAUAAAGAUGGUGUUUCUAGGUUUAGAAGGCUGUAUAUGUGCUUAGAACCAAUAAAGAAAGGUUUUUUAGCUGGUUGUAGAAAGUGGAUUGGGUUAGAUGGUUGCUUCCUAAAAGGUCCAUUUGGUGGGCAGCUUUUGUCAGCAGUUGGAAUGGACGGUGAUAACAAAAUGUUUCCCUUGGCAAUGUCAGUUGUUGAAGUAGAGAAUUAUGAUAACUGGAGUUGGUUUUUAGGAUUGCUUGUACAAGAUUUAAAAAUUGAAGACUCUAGUUGCUGGUGCAUUAUGACUGACAAACAGAAGGUAGUAUUUAUUAAUUUGUUAUCCAUUAACUAUUUAUGUUAUACUAUUGCUAUUAAUGUGGCAUAUGUGAUUGUUGUGCUGUGUUGCACAGGGUCUACUUCAGGCUGUUAGGGACAAACUUCCACAAGCUGAGCAUAGGUAUUGUGUCCAACAUCUUUACACUAAUUUCAAGCAAAUGCAUAGAGGUCUUGCUCUUAAAGAUAGGCUUUGGAGAUGUGCAAGGGCUUCAUAUAUGACUCAGUUCAAAGCAGAAAUGGAGAUGAUGAAGCAAGAAUCAAAAGAUGCAUAUGCAUGGUUGGAUGAAAAGGACCCCAAUACUUGGUCAAGGGCUCAUUUCAAGACUGGAUUGGAUUGUGAUAUACUGGUUAAUAAUAUGUAUGAAUCUUUUAAUUCAAUUAUUUUAAAGGCACAAUCACUGCCUAUCAUAGGCAUGUUGCAAACUAUUUACUUAUAUUUGUUGAAGAGAAUGGAGAAGAAUAGAGAGACAAUGUCCAAACAUGAAGGUUAAGCUAUUUGCUUACUGUUUUUUAUCAGCAUUUCUUUCUAGUUACCCUAUGUUCAAUAUCUAAUUUGCCCUUUUAUUUGUCAGGUCUCUUAUGUCCAGCAAUUUUUGACAUUCUUGAGAAGGCCAAGAAAGAGCAAUGCAUGUGCAUCUGCUAUUACGCUGGCACAAUGAAGUAUCAAAUAUACUGUCCUUUUGAUGACUAGUUUGUCGUUGAUUUGGGGAGCAAGACCUGCACUUGUAGAAAAUGGCAACUGAGGGGAAUCCCAUGUGGCCAUGCAGUGGCUGCUAUUUAUAGGAGACGUGACAAGCCAGAAAAAAAUGUGGCACCCAUCUACUGGAAGAGUACAUACAUGAAGAGUUAUGAACCUGUGUUGAAUCCAAUCAAUGGACCUAAUCUGUGGGCCCUAGUAGAUUUACCACCAAUGAAGCCUCCAAAAUAUGGAAAAUCACCUGGAAGGCCAAAAAAGGUGAGGAAAAAGGGACCAGAUGAAGAUAGGAACAGGCAAUCAUGUGUGAAUCCAUCUAAACCUCACAAAGUUAGCAAGGUUGGCACUAAGAUGAGCUGUAGUCUGUGCAAGAAAUAUGGCCAUAAUAGGAGGAGCUGUCCUGAAAAAAAUCAACAAACUGCUCCAGUAGAAAAGGGAGGAGAUGGGCAUAUAGAUAAGGAAACUAGUGGGACCAGCACACAACAAAUAGAUGCCAUCAGAAAUAAAACAAGGCAUACCAGUACUGGUCCAACUACUUCUAAUAUCACUCACUUAAGUACACAAGAGAGCUGCACGGCUGCUCCUCAAAGUCUGGCUCAACAGAAAAUUGGUGGAGAACAACCAGUCAAGGGCACAAGAAAAUGCUCAUUUUGCAGGAAACUUGGCCAUUCAAAGAAAGGUUGCAAGCUGAGGCAAUGGACCUUUAGAAACUCACUGGACAUGACUGGAGAACUUGGACUCAACAGAGCUGCAACUAAUUCUCUGAUUAACCCAUAUGAGACAGCUUCAAACAAUAUUGAAUCUGGACAUGUAAGUGCUUUGAAAUUUCAAUUUUUAUGCUGUGUGAGAUGCGAAAAUGUUCACUCUCCUAUUAACUACUUCUUAUCUCGUGACAUGUAGUUGAACUCCAAUACUGGUGACAAAUUUUAUUCACACAGUCCAAGGAUAACAAUGAAACCAGCAGACUCAUACAUUGAUGAUAGGCAGACAGAAGAGCUUGGUUCAACUAGCCGUGUCACCGGACGACUUCAACCAACCCCCUUCAUUUGGAGGGGAAACAUGUGUGUAAAUCUGUCUACAUUGUAGGCAGCAGCAAGUCACGUGAAUCAUUCAACUACCAUUGCCAAUGUGCAGCUCCAUAGGAAUGCAAAUGAAGCUGCAAAGUUAGGAAAUUUAAAUCAGCCUCCAAAAUAGUUGUGUUUUGUAAAUGGCAAUGUGCAGCUCUAUGUUUAGCUGGGUUUUGUGAAUUUCUGUUGCUUUGUAGGGAGCUGAUGUUUUGUAAAUGGCAAAUGAUAUUGUUAAUGCUAAGAAAUUUCAGCUGUUGUUUUGUAAAUUUGUGAAACUUCUGGUCUUUUGGUGUAAGGCUAAACAUGCCUUCUUCUUAAAUGAUCAAAUUCAGUCCAUUUUCAAUUGCAUUUAUUGUGUCAAACAGUUGAUGGUGUUACAAAUGUUUGCAUGUGUAUCAUUCACUGACAAAAGUAGUUCAAUAAGUUGGGACACUUUAGUCCCUCAAUUACAUAAAACGGAUGAUUUAUAAACAAUACUUCAUUACAUAGGGACACUUAGGUCCCUAAAGUUCAAACAAAAGAGCAUGUCAGCCCCUACUGCUUCUUCAAGCAUAGCUACAUUACACCAGAAACCGCAGCUUAUACAUUACACCAGAGAGACAAAAUUACAUCUUUUCCAUCCCAAUUACAUAGCAUCAUUUUCCCUCUACUACAACGUUGCUUCUUUUCUCACAUAGAUGAACAUUUUCUUGUCAAACUCCAAUGAUGACCUUUAUGGCCCACAGUUGAACAAAAGGAUCCAUACAACAGCAACAACCCAGUGAACAAACAAGUACAUCUUCAGCCUUCUUCGUUUUGCUUCCUGCAGCUUUGAGUUCUCUUGCAACCUCUCAAUCUCAGCCUCCAAUUUGUUUUUUGUUCUUAUCAGUCCAGGGAUUAUAUCCUUCGACCUUUGACCCAAUCCCAGGAUCCACCCAAUCCCAAUACCUGCAUCCCUCCGAUUCCUGCAUUAACAACACCAUUGAGAGAGUAAAUACAAGUUUACUUAGGUGCAUUGCAUACAAAUCAAAACCAUAGGCGAAGAAAUGCAAACAGAUAUAAUGGGAAAUGGAAUCACCCUGUAAUUUGGACAUCGACAAAACCUUCUUCUUGGGUUUAAAUCAGUCCAUGAUGUCAUCAUCAAUGCUUGUUUUCCACAGUUGCAUGUGUCCCUAACCAUCUCUCCUUUGUCUUCUUUCUUUUCCUCAGAUUUUCGCCAGCUCUCAACUAAGAAGUUCUUACCCCUCAUUUCGGUAAGUAGGGCACAAUCGGUCCCUUUUAUGAAUUGGAUCGGGUCAAUUAUUUGACCCGAUUGUGCUUGAUAAAAGGAGGGAAACUUUCCCUCCUUUGUGCUAAAUACGGUUAUUUCUUUUUAUAUCUUUUCUCUGAAUUUCCAUCCCUACCCUUGGUCAGUGGCGCUUGUUUUGCACGCUCGGAAAACCCUGAUGAUUCUAUCGAGUCCGUCAACGGUUAUACUUAAUUGGGACGGAUUCAGUAGUUUGGGGACUUAAGUGUCCCAUUUAAAAGUUUAGGAAUUGAAGUGGAAAACAGAGUAUAGUUUAGGGGGUCAAAAGGGAAUUUACCCUUUUUUCUUCACUAGUCGAACCAUGAUAUACUUCCUUUUACAAAACGAGAAAAAGAAACAAUUAGAAGUAUGCACAUAACAUCCACAAAUCUAUGUAAUCAAAACCAUAUGAGAUUGUCACAUGAUCCCUGAGCUUCUUAAAAGAUUUAUGCGCUCACAAUAAGGGUGGACAAAAUUACCCGCUAAUUCGAAAAUCCGUCAUAUCUGAUUUGAUCAUCUGAAAAUUAGGAUAUCCAAUCUGUAUUAUUUGAUUGGCUCAAAAGAGGGUCGGGUACCCAUUUAGACGCGGGGUGGGUUAGGAUCACAUAAUUAAAAACCUGCGAGUACUCGACUCGUCCUGCAUUUAUAUUUUUUAUUUUUUACUUUUAUGCACAUACUAUAAAAUAAUAUUUUUAGAGCUAAAUAAACAAUUCCAUUGAACAAAUUGCAUUACAAAUAUGAGAGACUAUAAUUUAUUUACAAAAUUUAUUUGUAGAGGUUAUGAUCUUAUGUUUUAUAGAAAAGAGUUUAAUUAAUGUAGAACAUAAAUUUAAAAAAUGUGCUACUUAUUUCAAACUUUUAUUAAUUUUAAAUUCUUUUAAUUUUUUUUUUACUUUUUCUUAUAUUCUCUUCACAUGCUUGUUUCUUGGUGGGAGACUUUUUUGAAAAAAAAAAUUUGUAUUAAAUCUUAGAUGAAUGUGUAAAAUAUAAAAUUAAAUUAGUAUAAAUUAUUUUUUAAAAAUAUUAAAUGAUAAGUGGCAUAGGACGGGUACCUGUUGAUCUGACCCUAUCAUAUAGAAUACCCGCUAAUAUGCGGAGUGUAUAAGGGUUAGAAAAUAGCUGACUCGUAAAGUAUGCAUCGGGUCAUUCAAAUGGUGCAUAGGGUGGGUAUCCGACCCGUGCCCAUCCCUAGCUCACAAUACGCCAACCAAUGGCUACAAGUUCAACAUGUCAAGGAUAUGAUGGGCAGGUGUAAAAUCUUAGGAUUUACAUUUAACAAAGUCGCCAAUAAAAAUUUGUUUGCCUCUGUUUCAAAUAAUGGACAAAAGGUUUUACAAUAAAAUAUAUACAGUAAGUAUCUAAAUCACUUAACUCGUUAAAAAAAUAAUCUGAGCAAAGGCAACCUUAGGAAGCUUAGGUGGUUCCUCCUUGUUCUUCCUUCAUACACACUAUGUUCCUUGAGUAUUUGAAGUGCAUUGCUAGGAGUACUUGGUGAACAACCAGAUUUGUCGACAUAAAACGAUAGAGAAUGCUCAUACCGCUAGUGGAGAAAAUCCACAUAUUCCUGCUUAGAUAGGAAAAAGGGAUCUCCACCCUUAAUUACAUGCAAAGCUACUGCAGCAUCAGUAGAUGCCAAAGUAACACUCCUCUCUAAUAAAUGGACAAAUUGUGUUGCAUUCAUCUUUAAUAAAUAAUGUUGAACAUGAUAGUAGUUACAAAAAUAAAAGAUUUUUUACUUUUUAUUUACCAAAAGAAAGAAGAAUAAAUUUUAUUUACAAAAUCUAAAUUUAGAAAGUGCUUCUAACAUGAAUCAAAACACAAUAAAUUUGUACUACAAGUCUUUUAAAAAUUACCACAAGUCUUUUUAUUUUUUGGAUACAAGUAAAUUAAGCCUUAAUAGCACUUUUUAAUAUGUAUAUAGAAAUAUUGAGUAAAAAAACUUUAAUACAAAAUAUAAUAGGAAAUGGAGUAUCAAGGUAGGCAAAGAGUUUUAUGUUGGGAAUUUAUUUAUUUAAAUUACAAUAAAGAUUAAAUUUAAUUAAUUUUAUCAAUCAUAUUCUUGUAAUAGUAUUAAACUAAAAUUAAUGAAUAUUAUAUUCAUCAAUACCAAUCAUAAUAAUAAUUACAAAGGUGAAACAUCCCUUUGAGUUACGGUAAUUAAGCCAAAAUUUUUUUUUUUAUAAAAUAUCAUUUUCAAGGAGUACUUCAAAGAUGAAUAUAUAUAUAUAUAUAUAUAUCAAAUUUCAAUUCGACAGUUGUAUAAUAAAUAAUCUUAAUGUCUUACAAUUUUUAACCAUAUAAACUCUAAAUCAUAAAGCGUGUCAUCAGUGAGAAAUACAAAUAAAUUUCACCAAAUCAAAAUACUUCUUUUCAGGUUAAGCUAUUUAAAUUUGAACAAUGGAAUUUUAAUAUAUUUAGAUACUAUUAUAGUUACAAUAGCACUAAAGAUCAUUUUACAAUCCACCAUUACCAAAAAAAAUGAUAAUAAUUAGAAAAUCUCACUAAAACUAAUAAAAAAUUCAUAGAACAACUUAAACGGGAGCAACAAAUUAUUCAAAAAGUUAAAAAUUUAAACUCAAAUGGCAUAAAAAAGAACUUUCAAGUCAUCUAAAUUUAACCAAAAGACAAAUAUUGAUAUUGUUACAAAAUAAAAGUGCUAUUGGAAUAAAGAAUAAUUUAUUUUUUGUACAUUUGUAUUGGUUAAGGCAAACCAAGUUCACAUUUUUUUUGUCUCAAUUAUAUUUAUCCCUUCAAAAUAAUUGAUUUUCUAAAAAUUUUAAAGGAAAAAAAUCUAAAAGCAUCAUGUUCACGUGCUUUGCAUAUGCUUCAUUAGUAGUUGAACAAAAAGGAAGAACAUUUAGAUACAAAAAACCUUAGACUUGAACUUGAAAUUCACAUACUACAUUUGCAUUGAUUCCAAAUAGGGAGAACAGCUUUUGGUUUCUUUUUUAACCAGGACAAAGGUACCUGUAAGCAAAAAUAUCAUAAACAUUAAAUUCAACUAGUCAUUUUUUUCUUAUUUAAAAAGGAAAAAAUGAAACCCAUUGCAAUCACCUGAUUAAAAAACUCAUCUUAUUCCAAGUCCCUAGCCAUCUGUUCCAAAAUAAAGCAAAUAUAAAUAAAACCAAAAAUUAAGUAAAUGAAUCAGCAAUAAAAUAACAAAUAUAAAGCAAAUAUAAAUAAACCAACAACUAAAUAAACGAAUCAGUUAGAAACAGAAUCAUGGCCUUUUAUGAUGAUGAAAAUGUUAGAAUUACUGACUACACCGUAGUCAAAGAAUGUUGGAAAAAAUACAGGAGAAUAUGGCUAAAAAUUACUAAGCAAAUGAUACAAAAAGAUUUCAAAUCGUGACUCAAGAUCACUUUCCUUUAACCUUUAUUUGUGUAGAAUUUUGUAUGCAAAAAUUUUGGACAAAUAUCCUUUAGAAUAGUUUGAAAGAUGUUUAUCUUAACUAUUGCACAAAGUUAGACAAACCUACUUGAACUAUAGUGUAUUUUUCGCAAAAAAUUCUAGUAGUAGGAAAAUAAUCUUCUACAACAAACCAUCCCUACUAGACGUUUAUAGAGUUCAGAUUAAAAAUGAUCAAGAGUUGCAAUCUUUCACCACUGAUUUAUGUAUUUGUGUUUGUCAAAAGAUUUCUCAACAUCAAUACAAGUGUUCAGAUAAUUUUUUGAUGUUUAAACACCAUCUAGAUGGUAAUUAACUGUCAAGAACAUGAAGAGGUGCCAAGUAGACUUGAACAACUUCUGAACAUUGCAAGAAUCAAACAGUGACGAGUCUUAUGUCGAUCCUAAGACAGGCUCCCAUAUUGCAAUUGAUCAAAUUUUAAAAAUAUCCAACAAUCCCCCGUCAUUUUCAAAAUUUAGAAAAUACACUUCCAAAUGUCACAGAAUAAUUUGACAUUCAUAUACAUAAAUAAUGGUGUCUUUCGAUUGAAUCACUAUUUUAGUGAAGGUUUUUUGAAACUAAUCAAUACAAAAUAGUAGACCAACUUUGAACCACUUGUACAUAGAUUAGUCUCAUAAACGCAUCACACAUAGAUCAAUCCAUAACCAUAUGUUCUUUGAUAAUACAUUUUAUAACCUUAUAUCACUAUCCUUUCAUGAAUGUUUCAAAGAAAAAUCCUUAACUUUGUAGUUCGCCAAACUUACAUUCAUAUAGGUAACAUUUUAAUGCUCUCGCCAUUAAUGGCACUUUCAAGAUUCAUUAAGAGUCAAUGAGUCAAUCUAACUGUAAUCAGGUAAGAAUAAAAUGCAUUAUUUUGCCUUGGGAUGAAGAAUGAUAUAGUACACCAACCAUUAGAAUGAUGUAAAUUCACUCGUUGAAUUCAACACUAGAUGUUGUAUCUAGUGUUGAAUUGAGAUUUCGCCAUUAAUGGUCAUUAGGUUUGGACUUUAAACCCAUCACUUUUGAUGUUUUUAAUACAAAAUCUUUUGAUAAUUCUUUCGUUAAAGGAUCACUCAAGUUUUGACUAGAGUUCACAAAGUCAAUGGAUAUGACUCCAUUGGUGAUCAAAUCUUCCACAUAACUAUGUUUCAAACCAAUAUGUCUUAAUUUGUCAUUAUACACUUGAUUAUAUGCCUUAAAAAGUGUAGUUACACUAUCGCAAUGUACUGAGAUAAGCGACAAUGAUUUUGGUCACAAUGGUAUAUCAUAAAAUAAAUUUCGUAAUCAUUCAACUUCUUUACAAGUUGAAACAAGUGCUAUAAACUCAACUACUAUUGUUGAAUCAGUGGCACGUGUUUGUUUCUUAGAACCCCAAGAAACCGCGCCACCACCUAACAUAAAGAUCCAACUAUUCGUUGAUGGGUGAUCAUCUUUAUUAGUGAUCCAACUAGUAUCUGAAAAUCUUUCUAAAAUUGAAGGAUAACUGGUAUAAUAUAUACCAUAGUUCUUGAUGGCUUUCAAGUACUUCAAAAUUCUGAUUGCACCUUACCAAUGUAACCUAUUAGGAUUACUUGUAUAUCUACUUAAUAUAUCAAUAGCAUAUACAAUAUCCGGUCUAGUAUAUGUCAUUUCAUAUAUUAAGCAUCCUAUAACUUUGACAUAUUCUAAUUAAGAAAUUGGAUUCCCUUCAUUUUUUACAUAGCUAAUUUUGUGAUCCAAUGGCAUUGAAACUGGUGUUGGAUUCUUAAUCCAACAUUGGACUUAUAUGUGAAUAAUUAUGUAUUGCAAACUGUCAAUUAAGGUUAAACCCAAUUAAAGUGAUCAAAUAUAGUUUGGGUUUAAUGUAUCUAAUAGGAUGUGGAUCUUUAAUGUGUAGAGACUUUAGGGCUCCUAUUUCUAUAAUGGGCUGAAAUAGGGCUCCAAAAGGUAACAAAAUGUUACCUAUAAAUAGGGUUAUGAUCCCCAGGUCACAGGUAUCAUUUUAGUUGUCGUAUUUCCUAAUACCACAAAAUAGCUCUUCCCUGAUAUCCCAUCGUCAGGAAAGAUACCAGAGAGAAACUAAAGGCUUCUCUCAAAGGAUCGGUGAAUACCUGUUGACCUGGAAGGCCAUCCCAAAAUCUCUAGAGAUUCAAGCGUCAAAUUUAUUAAUAUGGAUUCAGGUACGCUUCCGCUAUUUUAUAGUUAAUUUAUUUCUUAAUAAUCGCCAUAUAGAUUUUGUGGUUCAAAGGUGAUGGUUUUCACCAAUGGUUAAAUUUAGAUAACCACCCUAAUAAGUGGUAUCAGAACCUAUAUGGUUGAUUGUUAGGAAAUAAUUUGUGGUCUUUGAUAGUUUUAUCUUAAAGAUUGUAAAUUAUGAAUGGUGUCCUACUCCUGUUUCUGUUGUAAAGAAUCGGUCAGAGAAAAAAAAAAAAAAAAAAAGGGGUUUUGCUUGUUCCGAAAAAAUUGGCCAAUUGUUGUGAUUCUUAAGUUUAUUUGUAUCCAGUAGGUUUGUUUGAUAUAAUGGCCGAUUGACCUUUACAUCUGGAGUAUUUGACUUAGCAUACUAUGACUACUUGGCACAUAUUUCGGGAUCUUAAUUAAUUGUGUAGUAGUUACCCUUUUCUUAUCUCAAAUAGAAAGCCGAAACAGAAAGCAAAAACAUGCAAGACCAUGACUUUCUAGUGGGUCAUUGUCUUGCUAUGCUAAAAGCCGAAAGCCAGAAUAGUUUCUUUUGCUGUGACUUUUCAUUACGUCUUUGGUUAUUUGUUGUGAUGUUUAGUUGACCGAUUCAUUGUCUAUGAAUCCAAAUUGAUAUUCAAUAUGAUCCCUUGUAGCUCAAUUGUUUAUAAUUGGAUUCUUUGGCUGGUUUCCUUGCUCAUCGAUAUUUAUAUUUAUGUUAAAGAAAUUAGGGUUUCUUUAAUUUAAGUGAACCCUAAUAAAGUUAGAUAAGAUAUUUAAGCCCUAUUAAAGUUCAUAUAUUUGGCCCAUUAAAUAUAUAGUUUUAUAAAGUGCUUAUGGACUUCAAGAAUAAAUUGGGCUUGAAUAAUAAAUUGGGUCAAAUUAUGGAUAUGAACCUUGGAUCCAAUAAGUUUUGAUCCAAUUGAUUGGUUUGAUCAAAGUUGACCAAAGUUGACUUUGAUCAAAAUUUUUUAUUUAAUUUGGAUAAUUUUAAAUUUGAAUAUUGGUAUGAUUAUAUAUAUUUUGGAAUAAAUUAAUUGAAAUAAUAUGCCACCAAAGUGACCUCUAUUAUAGAAAUUAAUUUAUUUUAAAAUAUAACUAGUUGGGUACUAGUAAUUUUAUGAAUAUUGAUUGGCCCAAAGGAAGGUCAAUAUUUAAUGAAGUUACAUGUGCACUUGUGGUAAUAAAUACAUGAUAAUUAUUUGAAUUUUACAUGUGAUUUAUAAAUUGGCCCAAAGAAAAAUUUAUUUUUGACAUGUUAUUAUUAUCAGUAUUUAUUACUGCACCAAGAUAUCACUUAGAAAUUAAUAUUUUUGUCCAAAGAUAAAAUAUUAAUGGAAUAUCGAUAUCUUGAGAUGGGGUUACCUUUAUUUAAAUUUAUUAUUAUUUUGGUUUAUGUGAGUUUGUUUUAAUUAUUUUAUGUUUUCUGUUCAGUUGUGAAUGAUCUUACAAAUAUUACUUCCAACAUCAAUAAUAUUCCUAUGUUGAAUGGCACAAACUUCAAGUCCUGGAAAGAAAAUCUCUUGAUAGUAUUUGGAAUAAUGGAUCUCGACCUUGCGUUAAGGAUUGAUUCUCCCCCACCUCUUACAGAUCAGAGUACCUCUGAUGAAAAGAGAAAUAAUGAAAGGUGGGAGAGAUCAAAUCGCUUGUGUCUGAUGAUCAUUAAAAAGGCCGUUCCAAAAGCAUUCAGGGAAACAAUGUCAGAAACGACUGUAGCCGCUAAAGAGUUCUUUCAAGACAUUGAAAAAAGGUUUGUCAAGAAUGAAAAGGCUGAAAUUAGUACGCUCUUGACACGCCUAAUUUCAAUGAAAUAUAGUGGUAAAGGCAAUAUCAGAGAGUAUAUCAUGAAAAUGUCUCAUCUUAUUUCGAAAUUAAAUGCACUUAAGUUGAAACUCUCUGAAGAGUUACUAGUGCAUUUGAUUUUAAUAUCUCUUCCUACACAGUUUAACCAGUUUAAGGUGAGUUAUAACUGUCAAAAGGAGAUUUGGUCUCUAAAUGAACUCAUCUCACACUGUGUAGAGGAAGAGAAAAGGUUGAAGUAAGAGCAAACAGAAAGUGUCUAUCUGGUGUCAACCACUAAUAAUAAAAGUAAGGGAUUUAAAAGAAAGAAGGAAAAAAGAGCUGCAGGUACAGCGCCACCAAAGAAACAACAAAAGAAAUCAAAUGAUCAGGGAAAGAAUAGUUUUUUCUUCUGUGGAGCUGAAGGACAUCAAAAGAAGUAUUGCACCAACUAUCACGCUUGACGUGCUAAGAAAGGUAUGCUUUUUAAUUUGGUUUGUUCUGAGGUUAAUUUAACUUCGAUAUCUAGACACACAUGGUGGUUAGAUUCUGGUGCAACAACUCACAUCAGUGUGUCUAUGCAGGGUUGCCUGAAUUGCCGAAAGCCUAAUGAUAAUGCAAGAUGUAUCUACGUGGGCGAUGGCAAAACAGUUCAAAUUGAGGCAAUUAGAGUUUUUAGAUUAUUGUUAAAAAUCAGAUUUUAUUUGGAUCUCUAUGAGACAUUUGUUAUACCGUCUUUUAGAUGAAAUUUAAUUUCUAUUUCUGCUUUGGACAAAUUUAGUUAUUUUUGUUCAUUUUGAAAUGAAAAAUUUGAAUUGUUUCAUGAUUCAAAAUUGAUUGGUUCUGGUUCUUUAAUGUAUUACGAUAAUCUAUAUUUAAUUGAUACGAUCGCCUCAUUUAAUGAAUCUCUGCAUUUGAGUACUAGAGGAGUUAAAAGAAAAUUAGCCAAUGAGAAUUCAACUGCAUUAUGGCACAAGAGAUUUGGACAUAUCUCCAAACGGAGAAUGGAAAGGUUUGUGUUAAAUGAAAUUCUCGACCCCUUGAAUUUUACAGAUUUUAAUGAUUGUAUUAACUGUAUAAAGGGGAAACAAACCAAUAAAAGGAGAUUUGAAGCCAAUAGGUCCUUAGACGUCUUAGAACUUAUACAUGCAGAUAUUUGUGGACCAUUUCCUACAUCUGCUUGGAAUGGUCAACAAUAUUUUAUAACGUUCAUAGAUGAUUUUUCAAGAUAUGGCUACAUAUAUCUCAUUUCAGAAAAAUCACAGUCACUCUUGACGUGUUCAAAACUGAAGUUGAGAAUCAACUCAACAAAAGAAUUAAAAGCUCCAGAUCUGACCGUGGUGGUGAAUACUAUGGUAGAUAUGACGGUUCAGGUGAACAACGUCCAGGACCAUUUGCUAAAUACCUAGAGGAAUGCGGUAUCGUCCCACAGUACACUAUGUCGGGUUCACCCACUAUAAAUGGUGUAACUGAAAGAUGAAAUAGAACGCUUAAAGACAUGGUAAGGAGUAUGAUUUGUCAUUCUACUUUACCAGAGUCACUUUGAGGAUGUUGAGUUUGGGGAAGAAAAUACAGUAAGGGACAUUGUCUUUAAAGAGGAAUACAUUGAUAUUCCCAUAGGUGUCAUUGCUCUUGCUCAGGACCCUAUUCCUGAACUUGAUCAUGAUAUAACAAAUCAAGACAAUAUCGAAGAGCAAACUGUUAUAGAAGAACAAACUCUUCCUCUCCAAGAACCAGUGCCAUUAAGAAGAUCCACUAGAGAAAGGAGAAGUGCAGUGCCAGAUGAUUACAUUAUUUUUCUCCAAGAACAUGAGAAUGACUCUGGAUUGAUGGAAGAUGAUCCAAUCAACUUCCGUCAAGCCAUGGAAAGUUCAAAUUCUCAAAAGUGGAUCGAUGCUAUGAAUGAGGAGAUUAAAUCCAUGAAGAACAAUGACGUUUGGAAUCUUGUCCCAUUGCCAGAAGGAGCGAAAUCCAUUGGUUGUAAAUGGAUAUUUAAAAUCAAAAGAGAUUCGAAAGGCAAUGUGAAAAGAUACAAAACUCGUCUUGUCGAUAAAGGAUUUACACAAAAAGAAGGUAUCGACUAUAAAGAAACCUUCUCUCCAGUCUCUUUAAAGGACUCUUUUAGAAUUUUCAUGGCACUAGUGGCGCAUUUCGAUCUUGAUUUACAUCAGAUGGAUGUAAAGACAGCGUUUCUCAAUGGUAACAUUGAUGAAACGAUUUAUAUGGUGCAACCAGAAAGUUUUGUAUCAGGAGAUCCAAAAAAUAUGGUUUGCAAACUUAAAAAAUCCAUCUAUGGGUUCAAACAAGCGUCUCGACAAUGGUAUUUCAAAUUUCAUCAAUUGAUCACCUCAUUUGGUUUUGAGAUGAAUUUAGUAGAUGAUUGCAUAUACCAUAAGUUCUGUGGGAGCAAGCAUAUUUUUCUGGUAUUGUAUGUUGAUGACAUUUUGCUUGCCAGCAACGAUAUUGAUCUAUUGCAUGAAAUCAAGAAAUUUCUGACUAAGAAUUUUGAGAUAAAAGAUCUUGGUGAUGCAUCUUUUAUGCUAGGUAUACAAAUAUACCGAGAUCGAUCUCAGGGUAUUUUAGGAUUAUCACAAAAGGGCUAUAUCGAAAAAUUUUUCAAAAGAUAUGCCAUGCAAAAUUGUAAAUCAAGUGACACUCCCGUGGCUAAAGGAGACAAAUUUAUUCUUGAACAGUGUCCUAAGAAUACUUUUGAGGAAAAAGAGAUGCAAAAGAUUCCUUAUGCAUCAGCAGUAGGGAGUCUAAUGUAUGCUCAAGUAUGUACGCGUCCUGAUAUUGCGUACAUUAUUGGGAUGUUGGGUAGAUAUUUGAGUAAUCCUGGAUUAAAUCAUUGGAAAGCAACCAAACGGGUCUUACGGUAUUUACAGAAAAUAAAAGAUUACAUGCUCACGUGUCGGAAGUCAAAUGAGUUAGAGAUCGUUGGGUAUAUUGAUUCCGACUAUGUUGGAUGCCAAGAUACUAUGAAAUCAACGUUAGGUUAUGUGUACUUGUUGGUUGGAGGUGCUAUAUCUUGGAAGGAUGCUAUAUCCUGGAAUAGUGCUAAACAGUCCCUCAUAGCAUCUUCCAUUAUGACUGCAGAGUUUAUAGCUUGUUAUGAGGCAUCCAAUCAAGGAAUUUGGCUGUGAAAUUUUGUCACAGGAUUACGUGUAGUGAAUAGUAUUGAACAACCUCUCAAAUUAUUUUGUGACAAUAAAUCAGCAGUCUUAUAUUCCAAUAAUAACAGGAGUUCGACGAAAUCUAAACAUAUAGAUAUCAAGUUCCUGGCUGUUAAACAAAGAGUACAGAGUGGACAGUUAUCGAUAGAGCAUAUCGGGACAAACUCCAUGGUUGCGGAUUCGCUUACUAAGGGAUUGUCACCCAAAAUGUUUUAUGAGCAUACUACUCAUAUGGGUGUCGUGUUAUUAAAUGAUGUACAGUUUUAGUGGGAGCUUGUCAUUUUAAAUGCUCUUAUGAUAUUUUUCAGUUAUUAAGGAUUUAAGGAUAUUUUAUGCAUAAAUAAAGUUUGGAUUUAUUUACACUCUGACUUUUGUAUGGUUUGAUCUCAUGAAAAUUUAAGGUGGACCAGUUGAAAAUAGGCAUGUUUUGAUCACAUUACAUGAAAUUUUCAUACUACACAUUCACAUCAUGAUUCAUGUCAUUCAAUUGCAUCAAUGUAUGUGACCAUUGAUGGGUCGAGUUACGAUAUUGUAACAAAGGCCGCUUUGAUCCUAUAUUGGUGUAAUUGAUGGACCGAAUUGGUUACAGAUACAUUGUGAUAAUGACAGUAAAGUUGAGCUCAUACGGUUAAUUGCAAAACAUAAUUAUAAGGUUACACAUAUAGUCCAAGUGGGAGAUUGUUGGAUCCUUAAUCCAACAUUGGACUUAUAUGUGAAUAAUUAUGUAUUGCAAACUGUCAAUUAAGAUUAAACCCAAUUAAAGUGAUCAAAUAUAGUUUGGAUUUAAUGUAUCUAAUAGGAUGUGGGCCUUUAAUGUGUAGAAACUUUAGGGCUCCUAUUUCUAUGAUGGGCUGAAAUAGGGUUCCAAAAGGUAACAAAAUGUUACCUAUAAAUAGGGUUAUGGUCCCCAGAUCACAGGUAUCGUUUUAGUUGUCGUAUUUUCUAAUACCACAAAAUAACUCUUCCCUGAUAUCCCAUCGUCAGGAAGGAUACCAGAGAGAAACUAAAGGUCUCUCUCAAAGGAUCGGUGAAUACCUGUUGACCUGGAAGGUCACCCCCAAAUCUCUAGAGAUUCAAGCGUCAAAUUUAUUAAUAUGGAUUCAGGUACGCUUCCGCUAUUUUAUAGUUAAUUUAUUUCUUAAUAAUCGCCAUAUAGAUUUUGGGUUCAAAGGUGAUGGUUUUCACCAAUGGUUAAAUUUAGAUAACCACCCUAACAACUGGCACACAAUCACUUUGAUUGUUGGCUUCUCUUGCUACCUUGAGACUUGUUAGAUUGCCUCUCUUCAAUCACAUGUACUUUUGUAAUAGAGUCUUUAUAUUCUUCAAGGGUCUUGAUGAUGAGGGAACUUUUGGUCCUACACUGACAAUGUAUACACUGUCAGCGUUGGAUGAAAAAUCUAUUUUGAUAACUACCCACUACCAAUAUAAUUUUUUACCAAGUAAUAUGUAUUUUUUCUUAUUAUAUUUUUCAACUUAUUCUUUAAAUAUUAAUUUUAAUUAGCAACUACCAAUUAUGGAAUUAUAAAUAUAACAUAGAUAAUUAUAAAUUAUAUAUAUUAUUAUAUAUUUUUUACAUAUAUAAUUAUACUCAUAUAUGCGUCGGGUUUUAAUCAAAUUUGAGUCUAGUAUGAUCCAAACUCGACUUACAUUUAGUUCGAACCUAAUAUUUGAACCCAAACUCUGUCCGGCCUAAUUAAAAAUUUAAAACAUAGGCUCAGUGAUCUUUUUUUUAGCCUAACGGGCCAAACUCGAACUAAUCCGAUCCCAUUGACAGUCCUACUCAAAAUCUCGCUCUUAAAGCCUCCACCUAAGUCGUUUGCUAAUACUGAGUUUGUUUGGAUUGCAUAUUAUUUAUCAAAUUUUAUUUGCUUGUAUCAUCAAUAUAUUUUUUUAAUCACCUUUUAUUUUACAUAUAUCACAUCAAAUUAACUUGAUUAACCUAGAUUAAAUAUAUUGUGCUAAAAAUUGACUUCGUUGAAGUGCAUGCUACUAUAUCUUUUCUUAAAUCAUCACACACAAAAAGCUAGUGAAGAAAGCAGCCAUAUGCAUGCAACAAAUAUUUAUAGUAUAAUUCCUUACAUUUUUUUCCUUUUUCCUUUUUUGGUUAUCGAAAUGCUUUGAUGAAUUAGUACUAAAGCUACAUAUGACAAAUGAAUAUUCGGUACUAUACAUCUUCUUAAAAGAAUAAAUAAUUUGACAAUAAAAUUGAAAGUGUAAGUUUUUUAUACACUGUCAGUGUAUAAUUUUUUUUUUCAUACUAGCAAGUUUGGAUCACAUCACAUAAUAUGAAUUUAAAUUAUGCACAUAUAAAAUACAUCAAUAGUUGUGAUUGCGAAAAAUCACUACAAAGGAUAAUCCUAACUGAAAUGUGCAAUAAACUUUUCUAAAAAUCCUUUGGCAAAUUUUAUCUUUUUAUAGAAAAUAAAACUCGACACAACAGAGCACCAACCCAAAAACAAAAACAAAACAAAAAAAAAACUCAGAUGGAAUACUCAUGAUGUUUUAGUAAUUUUUUAUUCUUAGAUUAGAGAUAGUACAAGACGACAUGCAUUAUUAGUAUGGCAAAUGGGGAAAAAUACCAAAAAAUUAACCUUUUUAAAUGGGUAAAUCAGCAAAUUCUUUAUACUCUUCAAAAGAAAUUGAAAAAAAAGGUAAAUAAGCCCCAUAUUACCCACAAGUCCAAACCGGCCUUCUUCAUCUUUUUCUUCCAGAAAAAUCAGCCAUGGCGAGUGGCUCCAGAAAACAUUUUCAAUUCCAUUUCUUCUUUUUAUUAGAGACCACAUUCUCAUCCUCUACCUAUAGCGAGUUCAGUGGCCACUUGGUGAAUUUUCUGUUUGCAAACAUGGAGGAACUUUCAUAUUCUUCCGCACAAUCUUGCAUGUUAAAUAAUAAUAUGUAUUGAAACAUCUAAGGAAUAUUGAAAAUGACAACAAAAUCCACAAUCUAAACCGUUAACUUCAUCAACCAAAUAGCAGGAUUAAAAAAAUGAAUUGUAGAAUUUCUCAGCUAGGGAAAUUAGCACGUCCGCAUAUAAAACUUUUUCCCAUGGGAAUAAGCUUCAGCACAGCAGGGAACAGUUCUGAAGCAUAAAUGCUCAAGAUAUUCUGAAAGAAGCUAACAUAAAUCUACUGAGACAAUGGAUGACAAGUUUAUAGUAUACUCCAAGGGACUAGAAGAGCUUAAUUCCAAUUCAACAUUGUUCUUUUUCAUUUUAACCCCCCAAGAAUUUAGCUCAUUUGCAAAUUAAUACACCUUCACAAUUUUUUUUUCUUUUUUUUUGUGAAGAAAUAUUACAUCUAAACACUUUUUUUGCCCUUUUUCUUAUCAAGAUUUGCAUAGAAAAGACACCUCUUUGCUCAACAUUUUCAAUUUGUCACCCCACCCUCAAUUAAAAAAAAAAAAAAUCCAUAUUCAGGUGAACCCUAUUUACGCAUCCGCAUGAAGACCAAUUCCAAAUUCUGCAUCCUUUAGACACUUUAUUCUACUCUAUGUCGCUCGCCAAAUAUGAAAUAAAUUUUAGGCCAAAACAAGCAUGAGAGGUGAAAGGAAAAGUAAAUUAUGAAACAAUUGGUCCUGGUUUCUCCCAUUUGCACCCAAAGAACGCCAAGGGAAAAAAUUACAAGCAAGAUCAUGCUCAAACAGGAGAACUUUGAUGCUUGAAAUCUGAGAUAGAUGCACACGAGGAUGACAAAAUUACAGCAGUAAACGAUGAAGAUAUGUAGACAAAGUUUGAAAAGUUUGAACCAAUUACAGUAGCAUUCUAGUACAACUGAGUUACUAUGGUUAUUAAUUAUAUUAAAAUGGAUGGAGGCAAACAACUGAAGUCAAUAAUACAUGCUAUAAUUACGUUUUUAUUCUCUCGUGUUUUGCCCAAGCGUCUAGCCCUGUUUAAGUAAAGCAGGCAGCAGUUAGAUAGAAGCAUCAAGGGAGACAUCUGCAUCACUGUAUUCUGGUACCAGAUUCCUGGAUGAAGGUGUUCCUGCAAGCACUUCUGCUUCAAUGCCGCACUCAUUUGUUCCCCGUCUGAUCUUGAAGUAUCCGUCCUGCCAAUCAAGAAGACAGCAAAGUGAAAAAGGACCUUAUUUUGUCAGAUUAAAGCAACAACCUAAAGAACUAGAUACAGAGCUUACUUCGCCCCAGCUUCUAUUCCACUCGUUUGCAAUUAGCUGUAUCAGAAAAAGUAGUAAUUUUACUCCCUAUUCAGGAAGAGUUGCAUUGGAGAAUAAAAAAUCUCUAAGGAGAACAAAUUAAUAUACCCAGUAAUCCUCCCCGUCAUCGCUGGUACCCCAUCCAAUCAGCUUUACAGAAUGGCCACCAAUUGUACCACCUAUUGUGUGUUUGUAAACACCAGAACGAUAAUGGGCAAAGUCCUGUGUUUCACGGGAAAUAGAAGUACAGUUACAAUUUUUACAAGCAGAAAUACCCGAAGUAUGAAAUUAAACAAAUCGGGGACUGAGAAAUGAUGAUAUUCACAUAUAGAAUCUUUUAAUCUUAAGAAGUAUUUCUAGUUUCUUUCAAAAAAGGCAAUAUUUGGACAAAUAACCCAGAAAGAGACUCAACAAUUGUGGAAGCUUAGGCGUUAAGUGGAUGUUUAGUAUGUGUACGAGGGAUUUUCGUUUUCAGAAAACUCUCAUACUUGAUUUUCUCUUUUUCUAUUCCACAGGUUGUCUGUAAAAUUUACAGUUGACAUCUAGCAUGUUUUCCCCAUAAUCAUAUGGAUUUUGUGUGUUGAAUUUGAACAUCGUACUAAACUUAACGCUCCUAACAUUUUUCCAUUUAGAAUUUAAUAGUUUAACAAUCUUAACUCACAAAUUUCAAAUGCUAGACGCACCUGAUACACUAAAAACUAAUUAGGACCGGCAACUUAGAAAGUAUAUGUUUUGGAAUAGUCCAGUCUAGAAUAGCCAAACCAGUAUACAAAUACCAUAAUUAAGACCCAAGCCAUUACCCAACUUUAUGUCUAUUGUCCAUACAUUAUAGAUUUACUUUUAUAUGUGUGUUAAUAUUGCUCAUCUGCAUAUCAAUCGCAAAUUUCCCGAAUUGUUUUGAUCUAUAUUCAUGAAAUAGCAUGUUCCAUUCUUGAGGCACCCUAAACAAGACAGCAGUUCAGAUGAAAAUAGGGCAACACAUCUGCAUCUUCCGAACAGGCUUUGAAUAAAAAAGCAUCAUAUAGAGAAGCAUAUUAAAUUUCCGAAAAUAUUCGUCUAGAUAAAUAUGGAUCAGAACUUUAAAUUCCUUUAAUUUUGUCUUUACCUCAUGAACAAUGAAUGAGACCUCAACUGGUCCAUUUUUAUAUACUUCUGCCAUGAUACUCUGUGGAUCAGAACUUAUUCUGUAGGCAUUGAUGCUAAAAUGCUUUGACUUACUCCACAGCAAGUUCUCUUUAACACACUUCUUAAUGCACUUUGGGGUGGGAUAUUCACCGCAACCAGGGUGAGAACAUCCAGUGUUAUCAAAGUAAGGGUCACACUGCGAUAAAAAAAUUCAAAACCUGAGAUUCAAAUUGCUAGAGAAGACUUUCAUAUAAUAAUAGAAGAAGCAUUAUUUACCUCUUCAGUCACAACACCAGAGUAUGUAAAGUAUUCCCAAGCAGCAAAAGGACUACCACCAUAACAGCCAUCACCACACGAGAAGCCACAGCACGCAAGGACAUCGUUAACAGAAAGUGAAACAUUCUGCAAAACAACAACUACAUCCCUUUGGUCUACAGACAUAAGAAAAAAAGUGUGUAAAUUUUGUUCAUCAUGACAGUGUUUUACCAUGCCAAACUGUAUGCAGAAACGAUCAGAGAGUGAUUCAACCGCACCAAAUGCCCAACAAGAACCACAAUGUCCCUGACAAACCAACAUGUAAAUUGGUUUAGAAGUGGAAUUUAAUGCUUGAUCCAAAAACUGGAAGUGCAUGAAUGUUGGUAAAAUCAAGUCACCUGAUCUUGAGAAUGUGAAGCCAUUUCAACGGAUUGCAUUUCAAAAGGAAAAAAUUAGCAUCUUUCAUAAACAUUAUCAGUAAAUAAAUUCAAGCAUGCAUGUGACUGACCAAGAAUUCUCCCAAUAGUGCCACAUUGAGGCCAAGCUGUUCGUGCAUCAAACUGGUCGGGCAACUUCAGAUCUCUAGGAUGAGUUACAACCCGAGUGCUCUCCAGAACACCCUUUGGUGUUGGUUUGACUCCAAGAAGAUGCUUAAAUUGGCCAACCUGUCAAGAAAUUACAAGUAUAUUUACAAAGUUUCCUUCUUCUUUCUUUUAUGUCAAAGUGGAGGCACAUGUAUCUAUUUAUCUUCUAUUUUUUCUUUCUCUCUUUCAGGGGGCAGGGAGGGUUUAAAUGUGCAUGGUGGUACUCACAGUGUAAUCUGAAAACCGAGGACUCAUUUCAGCUGUCCAUCCAGCUGUGGAAUUACUAUUAAUCCUCGCAACAAUGGAAUCCUGUAUGUUCAUUUCAUAUCAGACAACUCCAUUACAUUGUAGUUAAACCUCAAAAAAGAUGUAGGGAGAAGGCAAUAUGUCAAUUAAGCCCAAGAGUACCUGCAGAAUCUUAGAAUCAUGUUUAAGCUGAGAAUUUGAUGCUUCGGCAUGGACCUGCCACCAUAGAAGUUGCUUAAGUCAUACAGUGCAAACCAUUUUGUAUCGUGAAAGAAAGUUAAUGUAGUGCCUCUCUCUCUCUCUCUCUCUCUCUCUCAAUUGAUGGUUCCGCAUAAACCUGCUUACCACAGAGGUUGAAUGAGCCAUACAAUGUAAACAUUUUAUAUUGUUAACAAAGAUAACGUAGCAGUCUCACUCUCUCUCACACAUAUGAUGCUUCUACAUAAACCUUCUUACAGAGAGGUUGUAUAAAUUAUACAAUGUAAAAACCAUUCUAUAUUGAGAAAAAAAGUUAAUCCAGCUAACGUAGCCUUCUCUCUCUCUCUCUCUCUCUCUCUCUCUCUCUCUCUCGAUAUAUAUAUAUAUCUCUCACAUAUGAUGCUUCCGCAUAAAUCUUCUUACCACAGAGGUUGUACAAAUUAUGCAAUGUAAACCAUUUUGUACUCUCCCUCCCCCCUCCCCCCCAACCCAAGAACUGUAGAGCUUCAGAACCUAAGGUCAUAGUGAGAUAAGUAAAUGAUCCUAGGUCAUAAAAGUCCAUGCAACCGAUGACUGUUAAGUGUCAGCCCAGGAAAAGAGUAUGACGCAGGGAAGCAAAAAGGAUAAGAAUCAAAACUAGCAUCCAGACAAUUUACAUUAAUGCAGCAUGCUGAAUUAGUGAUUUUAUGACUUGAAGGACUAUUUUCUUUCUUUUAUAGCAUGUUUCUUAAUGUAGCUUUAACAAGAAGCUAUGGAAUAGAAAGUCCUGAGGUACAGUGAAUGUAGGUGCUCAAGGUUACAGCGGUACUUUUCACUUUCCAGCUUCUUUAUCUCAAACAAGAAUGAGCACUGAUGUAUAAAACUAGCAGAAGCAUAAUUUGAAAGAGAAAAUGCUAAACAAGCUUUAAUAAUGCUAGAAAAGUUACUUUGGCUUCUACAGUUUCAUCAUAAAUGUGCACAAAAUCAUAUUUGAAACCAAUAUAAAGGUCAAAAUUUUCUCUUCUUAAGAAUGUCCAAUAUUAAGAGAUAAGAAAAAUAAACACAAAAUAACUGACCCGUUGACAACGUUUAAAAAAAGAAAAGUUACUAAGGAGAUUGAUGCUGGCCAAGUUGAAGGCUACUAACUUAUUCUUGUUGGAUUCCAUUUAAACCCAAAGAAAAAUGCUUUUGCAUUCUCUUUUUGGUAUCGGUGCACAAAAGUGACAGAAGUUUGUUGGCAAAUUGCAGUAGGAUACAACAACAAAGGAUGAGAAGUAAUUCUAAAGGCAGCCCUACACCUACUAGUGACUCAACUAGAAAAGACUUCAAUCCAAUUUCCAAAGGAAGAAGAUUUCACCAGGAUAAAAAAUUGAUCCCUAUACACUAAUGGAAUCAGCUUCUCUCCAAUAGAACCAAAAUAUGACAAUCAAAAUGGAUAGUCAAAAGAUCCUCCCUUGUUCAAGUUUCCAAAAAUCCUAGUGAUUUACCUUCAUGAGCACAAGUAAAGAUGUAUCAUGUGUGACAUUCUGUCUGAAACAUUGACUAAUCAAUCAUUCGUUUGAGAUAACAAGGAAUCAGAUAUUCACAGUUAUGUCAGUGCAUAUUGAUAAUUUGCCAAAAAGGAAGAAGUGAUAAUGGAACUGCAGUUUAGUAGAUAAAAAGUUAGCUAGAAGCCUGAAAACAUUGCCCUUUUUUUUGGCAACAAGGGGAAAGGAACUUGAUUAACGCUGAUACAUCCAUCAAUGCUUAUGUUUCUUAGAAAUCAAUCCUUUUAACAAUGUCUCGUAAUCCAGGAUGACACGGUAAAAUUCCAAAGAACAGCAGCAAAAAUCACAAAAUGAUGAUACUAAACAAACCUCCAGCUGGAAAGUUAGCAUAGCACCAAAAAGUAGUAGGGCCGUGAUGUAAAUCCCAGCCAUGGCCGUUUCCUUACUUGAAGCUGUUUCUAAACUUGAAUCCGCUGACACUCUGGUUCAAAGUUUAAUUUGUUCAACUGCUCAAACAGCCCAUGGAAAACAACAAAUAGGUAAGCAUGACUUUAACUAAAUACACGGAAUUAGCAUACAAGUAAUGUUAAGAAUUUUAGAAAUCAACCAAAAACAUUGCACAUUCAUCUUCUGCUGCUGUUGCUGCUUCUUUUUUGUGAAAAAUAAUGCCUCAUAAGCAUGAUACCAUUAUUAAAAGCAAACUCAUAUUAAUUCUCAAAAACAACAUAACCAUCAACUCCUGUAUUAUAAUUAGUAAGUAUCACCUGAAAUAGAAAACCAAAUUCCACCUCAUAUCUAACCAAGACCAAACAGAAUAUCAAUAUGGAACAGUCCAGACAUAUCAUCUCAAGAAUUAAACAGAAGCAAAUAACCAAGUUCUACUUUUGACAAUAAAUACGACCUUAAAAGAACAUGACAACCUAAUUCCACCACUAGCAAAAUAUAGCCAAAGCAAGUAUCGAUCCAAAAAGAGAAAAAAUUGAUCUUUGACUAACGCAUAUGGUUCCAAUGACGCGUUCCUCAUAGUUUGUAGGAUAAUACUUCAUCUUAACGUACACCACAAUCGACCAAAAUCAUCACUAGAAUCUUAAAAAUAGUUCGGCCCUUUGGUCAAACUGGGAAACUUGAAUCACUAAAUUCUACUACAUCUUUCAAGAAUUGCAGAAAAAUAAAAUUACCUCCCAAAGAAAAAACAAAAAACUUUUUCCAUUUGCUUGAUUGUCAUAGCUUCAUACUUCAAAAUUCCAAAAAAGCCAAAAAGUAAAAAAGAAGAGUAAAAGAAGCAAAAAAGAUGAGAUAUAUUACUUUUAACAAAAAGAUUUGAAUACAAAAUCUGAUUUUUUCUGUGCAAGAAUAUUAAGCAAAGGAGAAAAUGAGUAGGCUAAUGAGAAGAACAUACCUAGGAGAAGGUGAUAAUUCUCCCUUGUCGGAAUGAGGGGUUGACGAUGAAAGUGGUAGAGAAGUGCAAGAGAGACAAGGCACUGGGAGAAAGUAGUGGCCCUUUGGCCCCUUUUAAUCUAUCUUGCAGAAAUUGGGUCGCAGAUGGGACGGGAUGGGGUGGCGCCAUGGUGGGUGGCAAACAUUUGACUGUUGGGAGCGGGAGGGACCGCAGCAUUUAACUAUCCGGUACGAAUGGAUGAAGCUAAUUGGUGAAGCGCAUGUUACACAUUUUUUCACUAAUCAGCGUGUUACACAACACAUAUUUUCUUCAAACUUAGCUAUCAGUUUGUCCAUUAGUUGUUUUUUCUUGUCCAAAAGUUCAAUGUGCCGUGUGGUUUCUUGAUACCUUAGUUUGAUUUAUAUGGGAAACACUUGAGUAGGUUCAGCUGGUGACACACUUGAUUUUUGUGUCUAACUUCGGCACCUUGGGUUGAGGGAAUGGAAGGUGAAGGAAAGGAGGGAAAUCGGAGGGAUUUGCCUUUUGUUAUUUGGAUUGAUUUUUAAGAAGGGAAAGGAAAGGAUAUGGAGGGAAAUGGAAGAGAAAGACAAGUUAUUUUAUUGAAUUAUAAAUUAACACAUGAUCUUUUCCCUUCCUUUCUUUUCCUUCUUCAAUCCAAACUAAAAUUUAGUAUUUCUUUUAUUUCCUUCCAUACUUAAUUCAAAUAAUAUCAAUGAAACCACUUUCCUUUACUCUCUUUUCCUUUCUUUUCUAUUAGUAUCCUGUCCCUUCCCCUUCCUUCCUUUCCUUCAAUCCAAAUGGUGAGUAUUUUUUUUGUGAAAUAUAAUUUUGCAUUUUAUACAAAAGAUUGUUCUUAUUAAGUUAAAAAUAAGAUUGUUUUGUUUUUACAUUUUUUUCAUUUUAAAAAUUUUAAAAAUUUUUCAGAAGUGCAUAGUUCUAAUUAGUUCCACAAGUAUUGCACACAACUAUAUUGAGAGAUGUUUUAAGACAAAUUAGAAGCUUGGAAUUACAUGAAAAAAUAAUAUGAUGAUAAAAAGUGAGACUUCUUUUUCCUCAAAAAAUAAAAGUGAGACGUUCAUACACUAUAAUUGUAUAGACACAAGUAUGUUUAAUCACAUAUCUAAUACCACAACAAGGAAGAAUUUUGGAGACCAAGUGAAGGAAAUUGUUUUCUUUUCUGUUUUGUCUUUACUUUGGAUUUUGGGAUGAGGUUGUUAUGUUAACUUUGUAGCUUAAGAUUCAUUUUUUUCUAGUGGUUAUGGAAAAACAUCAUCGCAUAGGAGAGAGACCAAAUCUGGUCUUUCCCCAUGGGAGGAACUAUUCUUUAUAAUUUUUAGUUUCUCUUAUUUGAACAAGAAUUCUCUUCUAGGAUUUCUUAAUAAGAGAUUCUUCUUUUUUAGGAUCUCCUUGAGAGUUUCUUCUCUUAUAUAUCUAGUGAGACUUUUAUUCUCUUCUGGAUUUUUUCUUGUGAGAGUUUUUAAAGUUUUUAUCUUUGUAAAAUUUGAGAUUUUGUAGAUCUAGAAUCUAGUUUUUUAGAUCUACAAUUUCUCCAUUAUUGUCAUAUCUAAAUUUCUCUUUGGACUUGAACCAAUUUUAAUCAGAUCUGAUUGUCAACAGACAUGCACGGAUGUAUUGGAUUACAGUGAUUCAUGUGGAUGGAAGAUAUAUAUAGAAGCAUCAAUUUUAUUUUUAUUUGUAUUGUUUUCUUAGAUCUGUUAUAUUUAUUGAUUUCAGAUCUAUAUGUAUUUGUGUCAUAUUUAUUUGAUAUAUUUUCUACCAUUAAUGCAGAUUUGUUUGAAUGAAAUUAUCUUUUCUAUUAAAAAAAAUGGAAAAAGAUCCAGCUUCGUAACAAUAAAAUUGAGGUUAUCAAUUUAAUUCCUCUUAUUCUUUUGGUAAUUUGAGAAAAGAUUAGAGAAAGUAAAGUAAAAUAGCCUUUUCUUGCUAUUUAGUUAAAUGUGACUUAUUAUAUAAAAUCUUAGCAUUGAUAUUUUCACGGAAUCUAUUAUUGUUUUUUGAGGUACAAGUAUAAAACUAUUACUGUAUUUGAGGCACAGCUAUGACAAUUUAUCCUGAUUACACAAGAUGGAUAAUCAGAGGAUGUUGUUUAUUAAUUUAGCUUCAUUUUUUUUUUGUUGAUAAAUAGCAAUUUUCAUUAACCAAUUGUUGGAAAUCAUCCUGUAUGAUUUGAUGGUAGGUUAAACAUGCAUUAGAAAUAAUGGAUUAGAUAUGUAAUUUAGUUUAAUAGAUACAAUAGAUUUGAAAAACUUUUGAACAGAUCUUGAAUACAUAACAAAUUUUCAAGUUGUCUUCUAACAAGGUUGCAAUUCCGUUCUGUGCAUGUUACAAUCAUCAAAUCUGCUAACAAUUAGAUUGAAACAUGUUCAAUAAUGACGCUGACAUCUAUUGAGAGAAAUUUAAGACCCAAAAAAUGUCAAAUCUAACAAUCAAAUUUGAAACAAAUUUCAAUCUGACAACAAAACAAGAAAAAAUAGAAAAUUCUUACUAAAAACCCCUAUGAGAAAUAGAAAUUUCUCACUAGAAAUCCCUAAAAGAGACGUAGAAUUCACCAAGAAAAUUUAGAAGAAACUUUAGAUCAAAAUUUAGAAGAAACUUUAUUUAAAAAAUUAAAUAAAACGAAAUAUAUGGAAAGGGGACCAUGUUGAUCUCCCUUGUGAAGUGGAAAGCCCUUUGAAUAGAAGAGAAAAUUGGAGAAAAUGAGCGAAUGAGAGGUUAUUUUACCAAUUUACCUUCACUUUUGUGGGAUAUAUUUUCACAUGCUUUCGUCUUAUUUAUUGUUAGAAUUAUAACUUUUAAGUUUUCUAUUGAUAAAGUUUGAAUUGAUUUUUAAUGUGCUAACAGAGUAUAUACUCUCGUAUCUAGAUGUAUGAAAUCUAACUUUAGUUUGAAUUUUAAAUAAAAAUUUUACACAUGUGAUAUACAUACAAAUCUCUUAUAGUGCAUAAAACCUAUUGAUACUAGCAUUUCUCGAAGAGUCUUGUUCACUCACUAACAAAAUUUUUCUCCCUUUUAUGAUAGAUCUAACCUCAAACACCAUUAAAUGACCACCUACUCGCACAAAACCGAUUUGGACAUGCUCCAUAGCAGCCAACAAUUCCCUCCCCUCCAACUCUCACCUUUUUCCUUUCUUCAAAUUGAGACUCCUAGUCACCAAAUUAUUGCCUUUUUACAGCAACUAGUAGAUAAACUCUCUUUCGAUUUUGAAGAAUCAAUACCGUUUACUUUUGUAAAAGCAAAGUGAGAACCCAGUGAAUUUGUAACUAGUACAGCAAGAAAUCACAGACUGAGUGAAAAGGAUAAGAUAAAAGAAGUACAAAAACAAAGAAAGAAAAAUAAUUUCAAAGAAAUAGUCAAUGAAUUCUUCUCGCUUAUGUUUGAGCUUUCAUUUAGGUUGCUAUCUUGCCUCCCUUCAGUCACAACAAAAAUCAAGAUUUGAUUAUGCUGUGGUAACAUAAGAAUUUACACGACUAUAAAUUUCCAUGACAUGCAAAUCAACCACCAAAUUUCAACUUUUGAACAAAAGACUCAGACUUGAGGUGCAAAGUUUAGCAUGAAAGGGAGAAAAUUUUUCAAAUGGACUGCCAUAGAUUUUCUUAAGAAUGCCAAUAUCAUUUGCCAAAGAUUAAUCCAUAAACAUAACACCCAAGUUAAUCAGCUCUUUCCAUAUAGCUGAAUUAUUAAAGAAUUACCAUUGUUACUCAAUUAUAUUAAAAACGAUGGAGACAAACAACUGAAGUAAAUAAUACAUGCUACAAUUACAUUUUUAUUCUCUCGCAUUUGCCCAGGUGCCUAGCCCUGUUUGAGUAAAACAAGUUGCACCUAGAUGGAAGCAUCAAGGGAGACAUCUGCCUCAUCGUAUUCUGGUACCAAGUUCAAGUUCCUGGAUGAAGGUGUUCCUGCAACCACAUCCGCUUCAAUGCCACACUCAUUUGUUCCCCGUCUGAUCUUGAAGUAUCCGUCCUGCAAAUCAAGAAGACAGCAAAAAUGAAGAAGGACCUUAUUUUGCCAGAGCAAAGCAACAGCCUAAACAAUUAGAUAGAGAGCUUACAUCACCCCAGCUUCUAUUCCACUGGUUUGCGAGUAGCUGUAUCAGAAAAAGUAGUUAUUAUACUCGCUAUUCUGGAAGAGUUGCAUUAGAUGAUAAACAAUCUCUAAGAAGAACAAAUUAAUAUACCCAGUAAUCCUCCCCGUCAUCACUGGUACCCCAUCCAAUCAGCUUUACAGCAUGGCCGCCCAUUUCAUCACCUGUUGUGUGUUUGUAAACACCAGAACGAUAAUGGGCGAAGUCCUGUGUUUCACAGAAAAUAGCAGUACAGUUACAUUUUUUACAGGCAAAAAUACCCGAAGUAUGAAAUCAAAUGAAUCAGGAACUGAGAAACGAUGAUAUUCGUACACAGAAUCUUCAAGUCUCAAGAAGUAUUCUUCAAAUCAUCACAUCAUUCCAAAAGAGAAGAAGAGAAUGAGCACAUUUCAUGCAUGACUGUUCAAUCAUAUUUACCUAUUUUCACAUGCCAUGGCACUGAACAAAAAUUUCGUCACCAGGGAGUCACUCAGCCCUUGAUGGGCCAUCAAAACUUCAAAAGUGACAAUCUUGAUGAUACAACCAUCAUAUUCACUGAUCAUCCAGGUUUAGACACAGAAAAUACUGAACUUUCGAUAAAAGAAUGAGAAGAAAAAGGUGGGCUAAUUACCCAAAUGUUGUCUUGUUUAUUGGGAACUUAUUCUUAAAAAAAAAAAAUCAACUUCUAAGUAGUCAACUUCAGUUUGUUUUGAGUUUGUUACUCAGACACGCCACCAUGUUCCAAGAAGAAUUUUUGAGUUUGUGAUCUGUUGUUUGUUGGUCCUUUCUUCUAAAUGACACAAUGGCCCUCUUUCUCGUUACCUUGAAUGUACUUCGUUUCUUUUGCAUGUAAUUUCUCACAGAAUUCGAAGUAAAGGGAAGAAGAAAAUCUGUGGACAGUGUUAGUAGAUUUCUACAUUUAUGGAACUUCAAUAAAAUCAACAUUAGUUUUCUAAUUUCUUACAAAAAAAGACAAUAUUUAGAUAAAUAACCCAGAAAGAGACUCAUCAGCUGGGGAAGCUUGGGUGUUCAGUGGAUAUCUAGCAUGUGUAAGAGGGUUAUUCGUUUUCAGAAAACUCUCAUACUUGGUUUUCUCUUUUUCUAUUCCACAGGUCAUCUGUAAAAUUCACAGUUGACAUUUGGUAUGUUUUCCCUGUAAUCAUAAGGAUUUUGUGUUUUGAAUGUGAACGACAUUCUAAACUUGAACUCCUAACAUUUUUCCAUUUAGAAAUUAAUAGUUUGACAACCUUAACUCACAAAUUUCAAAUGUUAAAGGCAUGCGGAUACACUAAAAACUAAUUAGAACCAGCAACUUAGAAAGUAUAUGUUUUGGAGUAGUCCAGUCCAGAAUAGCCAAACCAGUAUACAACUAGCAUACUCGAGACCCAAGCCAUUACCCACCUUUAUGUCUAUUGUUCAUACAAUAUAGAUUGACAUUUAUACUGUGUUAAUAUUGCUUAUCUGCUUAUCAAUCACAAAUUUCCCAAGUAGUUUUGAUCUAUAUUCAUGAAAUAGCCUGUUCCAUUCUUAAGUCACCCUAAACAAGACAUCAGUUCACAAGGGCAUCAUAUCUGCAUCUUCCAAACAGGCCCUAAAUAAAAAAGCACUAUAUGGAGAAGCAUAUUAAAUAAGCUCAGAAAAUUCUUGUUUAAAUAAAUAUGGAUCAGAACUUUAAAUUCCUUUAAUUCUGUCUUUACCUCAUAAACAGUGAAAGAGACCUCAACUGGUCCAUUUUCAUAUACUUCUGCCAUGAUACUCUGUGGAUCAGAUUUUAUUCUGUAGGCACUGGUGCUAAAAUGCUUUGACUUUCUCCACAGCAAGUUCUCUUUAACACACUUCCGAAUGCACUUUGGGGUGGGAUAUUCAGGUUCACAACCAGGGUGAGAACAUCCAGUUUUAUCAAAGUAAGGGUCACACUGCAAGGAAAAAAUUCAAAACCUUAGAUUCAAAUUGCUAGAAGACUUUCAUGUAAUACAAGAAGAAGCAUUAUUUACCUCUUCAGUCACAACACCAGCAUAUCUAAAGUAUCUCCAAGCAGCAAUGGGAUAACCCCCAUCACAGCCAUCACCACACAAGAAGCCACAGCAUGCUAGGAGAUCGUUAGCAGAAAGUGAAAUAUUCUGCAAUACAACAAUUACAUCCCUUUGGUCUACAGACAUAAGAAAAAACAAAGAGGGUAAAUUUCAUUCGUCAUGACAGUGUUUUACCAUGCCAAACUGUAUGCAAAAACGAUCAGAGAGUGAUUCAACAGCACCAAAAGCCCAACAAGAACCACAAUGUCCCUGACAAAUCAAGAACCAAAUUUGUUUAGGAGUGGAAUUUAAUGUUUGAACAAAAACAGGAAGUGCAUGAAUGUUGGUAAAUCAAGUCACCUGAUCUUGAGAAUGUGCAGCCAUUUCAACAGGUUGCAUUUCAAAAGGAAAAAGUUAGCACCCUUCAUAAACAUUGUCAGUAAAUAUAUUCAAGCGUGCAUGUGACUGACCAAGAAUUCUCCCAAUAGUGCCACAUUGAGGCCAAGCUGUUCGUGCAUCAAACUGGUUGGGCAACUUCAGAUCUUUAGGAUGUGUUACAACCGGAGUGCUCUCCAAAACACCCUUUGGUGUUGGUUUGACUCCAAGAAGUUGCUUAAAUUGGCCAACCUGUCAAGAAAUUGCAAACAUAUUUACAAAGUUUCCUUAUUCCUUCUUUUAUAUCAAAAGUGGAAGAACAUGUGUCUAUUUAUGUUCUCAUUUUUCUUUUUUUCUUUCAGGGGGCAGGGGAGGUUUAAAUGUGGAUAGUUGUACUCACAGUGUAGUCUGAAAACCGAAGAUUCAUUUCAGCUCUCCAUCCAGCUGUGGAAUUACUAUUAAUCCUCUCAACAAUGGAAUCCUGGAUGGUCAUUUCAUAUCAGACAACUCCCAUCACAAUGUAGCUAUACCUCAAAAAGAUGUGGAGAGACGGCAAUAUGUCAAUUAAGCACGAGUACCUGAAGAAUCUUAGAAUUAUGUUUAAGAUGAGAAUUUGAUGCUUCUGCAUGGACCUGUCACCAUAGAAGUUGUAUAAGUCAGACACUGUAAACCAUUUUGUAUUGUUGAAGAAAGGUAAUGUAGCUCUCUCUCUCUCACACACACACACGCACAUAUUUGAUGCUUCCACAUAAACCUGCUUACAACAGAGGUUGAAUGAAUCAUACAAUCUAAACAUUUUAUAUUGUUAACAAAGUUAAUGUAGCACUCUCUCUCUCUCUCUCUCACAUAAAUCUUCUUACCACAGAGGUUGUAUAAAUCAUACAAUGUAAACCAUUUUGUAUUGUUAAACAAGUUAACAUAGCAGUAGUUCUCUCUCUCUCUCUCUCUACCCCCCCCCCUGGCCCAAGAACUGUAGAACUUCAGAUCCUAAGGUCAUAGAAGUAAAAGAUUGGUAAAUGAUCCUAGGUCAUAAAAGUCCAUGCAACUGAUGACUGACUGUUAUGUGUCAGCCCUUGGGAAAGAGUAUGACGCAGGGAAACAAAAAGGAUAAGAAUGAAAACUCGCAUCCAGACAAUUUACAUGUAAUGCAGCAUGCUCAAUUAGUGAUUUUAUGACUUGAAGGACUCUUUUCUUUCCUUUAUAGCAUGUUUCUUAAUGUAGCUUUAACAAGAAACAAUGGAAUAGAAAGUCCAGAAGUACAGUGAAUGUAGGUGCUCAAGGUUACAGCAGUACUUUUCAUUUUCCUGCUUCCUUAUCUCAAACAAGAAUGAGAACUGAUGUAUAAAACUAGCAGGAGCAUAAUUUGAAAGAGAAAAGGUAUACUAGACAAGCUCUAAUAAUGCUAGAACAGGUUAGUUUGGCUUGUAUAGUUUUCAUCAUAAAUGCGCACAAAAUCAUAUUUGAAACCAAUAAAGGUCGAAAUUUUUUCUUCUUAAGGAUGUCCAAUACGAAGAGAUAAGAAAAAUUAACACAAAAUAACUGACCUGAUGACAACCUUUAUAAAAAUGUUACUAAGGAGAUUGAUGCUGGCAAAGUUGAAGGCCACUAACCUUAUUUUUGGUGGAUUCCAAUUAAACCCAAAGAAAAAUGCUCUUACAUUCUAUUUUUGGUAUCCAUGCUCAAUAGUAACAGCAGUUUGUUGACAAAUUGCGGUAGGAUACAACAACAGAGGAUGAGAAGUAAUUCUAAAAGCAGCCCUAUGCUACUAGUGACUUAACAAGAAAAGACUUCAAUCCAAUUUCCAAAGGAUGAAGAUCUUACCAGGAAAAAAAAAAGAAAAAACUAGAUCCCUAUAUGCUAAUGGAAAGCAGUUUCUCCCUGAUAGAACCAAAAAACAAUAAAAUGGAUGGUCAAAAGAUCCUUCCUUGUUCUAGUUUCCAAAAAUCCUAGUGAUUUACCUUCAUGAACACAUGUAAAGAUGCAUUGCGUAUGACAUUCUGUCUGAAACAUUGACUAAUCAACCAUUUAUAUGAGAUAACAAGGAAUCAGAUAUUCACAGAUAUGUCAGUGGAUAUUGAUAAUUUGCCAAAAAGAAAGAAGUGAUAAUGGAACUACAGUUUAGUAGAUAAAAAGAAAGUAGUAGUAAUGAAACUACAGUUUAGUAGAUAAAACUUAGCCAGAAGCCAAAAAUAUUACCUUUUUUUUGGGGCAACAAGGGAAAAGGAACCCAAGUACGUUGAUAUAUCCAUCAAUGCUUAUGUUUACUUAGAAAUUAAUACUUUUAGCAAUCUCUGGUAAUCCAGGAUGACAUAGUAAAAAUCCAAAGGACAGGAAUAAAAAUCACAAAAUAAUGAUACUAUACAAACCUCCAGCUGGAAUGUUAACAUAGCACCAAAAAGUAGCAGGACUGUGAUGUAAAUCCCAGCCAUGGCCGUUUCCUAAGUUGUAGUUGUUUCCAGACCUGAAUCCGCUGACACUCUGGUUCAAAGUGUAAUUUGUUCAACUGCUCGAACAGGGCCUGGAAAAAACUAUUAGGCAAGCAUGAUCUAAGUACACAGAAUUAGUAUAACAGCAUUAAGAACUUUAGGAAUCAACCAAACACAUUGCACGUUUAGCUUCUUCUUCUUUUUUUUGGUGAAAAAUCAUGCCCCAUAAAGCAUGAUACCAGUAUUAAAAGCAAAUUCAUAUUCACUCUCAGAAACAACAUGACCAUCAACUCCUGUAUUAUAAUUAGUAAGUAUCCCCUGAAAUAGAAAAUCAAAUCACACCUCAUAUCUAACCAAGAUGAUACAGAGUAUCAAUAUGGAACAGUCGAGACAUAUCAAUCUCAAGACAACUUAAAUAACCAAGAUCUGUUUUUGACAAAAAUACAACCUUAAAAGAACAUGACAACUUAAUUCCACUACUAGCAAAAUAUAGGCAAAACAAGCAUCUAUCCAAAAAGAGAAAAAUUUGAUCUUUGACUAACUUGUAUCGUUCCAAUGACGUGUUCCUUAUAGUUUGGACUUUGGAGGAUCAGUACUUCAUCUUAACAUGCACUGUGAUCCACCAAAAUCAUCACUAGGAGCUUAAAAAUAGUUCAGCCCUUUGGUCAAACUGGGAAAUUUGAAUCACUGAAAUACUACUAUAUCUUUCAACAAUUGCGGAAUAAUAAAAUUACUACCCAGAGAAAAAAAACUACUUUUUCCAUUAGCUCGAUUGUCAUAACUUCAAACUUCAAAAUUCCAAAAAAAAAAAAUGAAGAGUAAAAGAAGCGUAGUAAUGAAAUAUAUUACUUAAAACAUAUUUGACUACAAAUUUGAAUUUUCUGAGCAAGAAUGUUAAAAGCAAAGGAAAAAAUUAGUAGGCUAAUGAGAAGAACAUACCUAGGAGGUGAUGAUUCUCCCUUGUAGGAAUGAAGGGUCGAGGAUUAAUGUUGUAGAGAACUGCAAUAAAGACAAGGCUCCGGGAGAAAAAGUAGCGGCCCUUGGGCCCUUUUUAUAGCUGUCUUGCAGAAACUGGGGGGUGGCAAUUAUGGACUUAUUGGGACUGGGAGGGACGUCAGCAUCCAGCCAUCCAAGAUGAAGGGAUGACGCUGAUUGGUGGAAGCAAUCACCGUUUUAGAUAUUUUUCUGGAACUUGCAAUCAGCUUGUCAAUUGUUCUGCCGUGCGGGUUCUUUACACCUUUUAUUUGUUUCGUGGUUAAACACUUUGAAUAGAUUAGUUGUGUUUUUUUUUUUUCACGAUGCACGUGGCCUUGUUUGGAGAGCCAUUUAAAAAAAAAAAUUACUACAUUUGUUCGUGAAUAUAUUUCUUAAUUAUCUUUUUACCUCAUAUAUAUCAAAUCGCUAUAGUAAUUUUUCUAAAAAAAUUUAGAAAAAUGCAAUUCAAAUAUAACCUUGUGGACCAGACUAAUCCUCUGCGAUGGCAAGAAUCCUGCCCAAAUAUGCCAGCACGUCAUCAAUGCGGGUCAAAUUAGGACCUUCCGCUAAAGAGCAGGUUACGGAACCAAAUGCUCUGCCCGCCGGGGCCGAAUAGAUUUAGUUGUGUUCAACUGAUGAUAAAGUCACACAUGAUUUUUAUGUCUAGCUUAUUGUGUGUGUCUAUGUACACAUAAAUACAUACAUAAUAUAAAGAGAGAGAGUGAAAUCUAAUUUUGUAUUUUAUACGGCUUUUUUUUUGCUUUUUUUUAUUGAACUUGAACUACAGUAACUUGUUAAAAUACCACUAAGUUUUAUAUAAAAAAAAUGUAUUUCAAAAUAUCCAAAAAACACAUAUCCAUUUCCCUUUUCUAUCACCACCUUCUCUAACCAGUUCCACUUAUGACGUUGUCACCACCACAGUCACCACUUCCCCUAAGGAGAGGGGAAUGGGAAGGGGCAGAAAGAGGGUAGGGAUGAUAGGUGGUGGUGGAAAAGAAGAGAGGGAGAAUGGCGGGUGGUGGUGAGGAAAAGAGGAUAGUGGUUGCAUCAGAUUUUUUUUAGGGUAGGAGGAGCGGAGGUUUGGCGGGAUAGAGGGGUAGGGACGGUGGGUUGGUCGUGAGGAUGUGGCGGUAAGGAUGGAUGGGGUGUAGUAGGUGAUAGAGUUCUAUAAGUAUUCCCUAAAUACUUUACAUAAAAUUUUAGACAAAAUCCCAAAAAGUACACAAUCCAAACUGACCUAAGAUUGUUUUGUUUUUACAUUUUGGAUUAAUCUUUGGUGUAUACACUAUCAGCGUUACAUGAUAAAAUUUGAAUUUGAAAUCCAAUUUUUACACAUAUAAUAUGGAUCUAAUAGUGAUAGUGUAUACAUUAUCAAUAUAUACUCUAGCCACAAGUAUAUUUAAUCAUCUAUCGAAUACCAAUACUCGCAAGAACUAUAGAAACCAGGUGAAGAACAUAGUUUUCUUUUGUGUUUUGUCUUUACUUUGAAUUUUGGAAUGAGGUUGUUAUGUUAACUUUUUAGCUUAAGAUUCUUUGUUUCUAGUGUUUAUGGAAAAAUAUUGAGCUUCAUAUAACAAAAUUGAGAUUAUCAAUUUAAUUCUUCUUAUUCUUUUCAUAUUUUGAUAAAAGAUUAGAGAAAGUAAAACAAGAUAGCCCUUUUUUGCAAUUUAGUUAAACAUGGCUCUUUUGUAUAAAAUCCUAGCAUUUAUUUGAUUCAAAAUGGAUAUUCUGUUCCACUUUUUUUUAUAUUACUAUUUUUCCUUCAUAAACAUCAUAUUUUAGUUCUUUUUGUCUUCUUAAAGUCCAAUAAUUAUUAACUGAAUAAUACACAAAAUUUAUCAAACUCAAAAAAAUCAAAAUGCUUAAAAAUGAGAUUUUUUUAUGAAUUUUCUAUUGUAUUUUUAAAUUUUCUAUUAUAUAUUGCUUUUUUAAGACUAUUGUAUUUAUUUUUUAAUCAGUUAAUAGUUAUUGAAUUUAAAGAAAACAUAAAAAAGAACUAAAAUAUAAUAUUUAUGAGGAAAAAUAGUAAUAUAAUAAAAAAUGGAAUAAAGAGUAAUACAGAAAGUGGAACAGAAGAUCCGUUGGAGCAUUGAUAUUUUCAAGGGAAAUUGUAACUACUAUAUAUGAGGUACCGUACAGGUAUGACAACUUAUAUGAGGGCCGCCUUCGGGUCUUGACCCGGACACCCCUGUGUUGACAAAAAAAAAUAUAUAUAUAUAUAUAUAUAUAUAUAUAUAUAUAUAUAUAUAUAUGAGGUACCGUACAGGUAUGACAACUUAUCCUGAUUCCACUAGAUGUAUAAUCAAAGGAUAUCGUUUAUUAAUUUACCUUCAUUUCUGUGGGAUAUGGUUUCCCAUGAUUUUCUCUUGCUUACUACCGGGAUUACAACUUUUUAAGUUUUGUGUUGAGAAAGCUUGGACUAAUAUUUUAUACACUGACAAAAUAUAUAUUAUAAAACCUAAAUAUGGGACAAUUAAUUUUUAUUUGAAUUUAAAAUAAAAAGUUUUCACAUGUGGCAUUCAUUCAAUUUUUUAAAAUAAAAAAUUUUAUUUCAUGUAAUAAAUAUAUAUUAAUGGCAAAAAAUAGAUCAAACAAACAAACAUUAUAUAGAUACAUAUAGAUCUAAAAUCAGUAGAUAUGACAAAUCUAAAAAAUAACAUUAAUGCUUGUGCAUAUCGUCCAUUCAAAUAUGUAGGUUAAGUUUGUUUGGAUUAUACAUUAUUUACACCUUAUUUACACAUAUUAACUGGCUUGUAUUAUUAAUACAUUUUUCAAUUAUUUUUUUUAUUUCACAUGCAUCACAUCAAAAAAGUGUCACAGUAAUUUUUUCACAAAAUUAUUUCAAAUAAUCUACUAUCCAAACACACUUACCUCAAAAAGUCUAAGAUGUUGCGUAAUAAGAUUUUUCUUCUCUUUAUGACAAAACACCCUCAAAGGGCAUUAAAUGAUCACGUAAACGAAUCUGAAACCCCCCGGGCCGGCGGCUAGGGGUCUCAGCUCUUCGCUUUCUUUCAAAUUGGCAGCAAAUUCUUUCAAUUUUGAAGAAUCAAUGGUUUGUUUGGAUAGUAAAAUUAUCCCAAAUAAUAUUUCACUUGCAUCAUAAACACAUUUUUCAAUUUAUCUUUUUAUAUUUCCAACCACCUUUUUAUCUCACAUAUAUCACAUCACAAAAAGUGCUACAAUAAUUAUUCCAAAUAAUACUUUAUCCAAAAUACUGUUUACUUUUGUCAGUGGCGGAUUUACAUUGGGGGCACGGCCCCCACUGCCCUCUUAAAUAUCUAUGAUACCUACCAAAAUUUGAUAUAAUUUCAACUGUGCCCCUGGAGUUUUGUGUAUCUAUUGGUUUAUAGGCUCUCACUGCCCCUUUAAAUUUCUAUAAUACCUAUACAAAUUUGAUGUAAUUUCAAGUGUGCCCCCUGGAGUUUUGUGUAUUUAUUGAUUUAUAUGCUUUUAAAAUUGUCUUUGAUUUUACUUGUUGUUAUAGCUACCGUAAAAAGGGUUUUUUAAAUGAUGAAUAUAGUGAAAAAUCGGUUACAAAAUAGAAUGGAAGACACUUGGAUGAAUAAUUGUUUAGUUACUUAUAUUGAGAAAAAUAUACUUCGUGAAGUUCAAAAUGAAAAGAUUGUAAACCGUUAUCAAAAUAUGAAAACUCGUCAUAAGCAAUUGUAAAUGGUUUAGUUGCUUUUGAAAUAAAAUUAUUAUUAUUACAUUAAUAAUUUUGAGUUUGUCUUUUGAUGUUUUGCUUGAAAUAUUUGCAUCAUUUGUACUUGUUAGUGAAUAUUUUUUUCCUUAAAAACUAAAAAAAGAGUAGGUAAAAAAUUUUACAGUUGCUUUUGCCCCCAACUGAAAAUUUUUUCUGCCUCCGCCACUGCUUUUGUAAAAGCAAAGUUACAACCUAGUGAAUUUGUAACUGCAAAAGCACAAGGAUUAGACCCAAUUAAACACCAUUAAAAAGUGUAAAAAGAAAAAGAUAGGGUAACAGAAGUAUAAAAACAAUGAAAGAAAAAUAAUUUCAAAGAAACAGGCAGUGAACUCUUCUCACUUAUGUUCGAGCUUUCAUUAAUAAAUGUCAAUAUCUUUUGUCAAGAUUAAUCCAUAAGCUUUACACCCAAGUCAAUGAGCUCUUUGGAUAACGUAAUAACAACAUUAAUGCUUGUCGCAAAUCAUAAUUAUUAAAGAUACGGUAUUUCGUGUAACUAAUCCAUUUCCUUUUUCCAUUUUAGAAAAUUGUAAAAGAUAAAAUUUUAUGACGGAAAUACUAAACUUUUAGCGAUAAAACAUGGACUACUCCAAUGGUGAGGGUUGCAAAAUUUACCAUGGAAAUAGAGAUCACAAAGCAACAACCUUUAUUUAUACUUCCAUAAAAAAAAAUCCAAUAUUCUAAGUUGAACUUAUGAAUAUUUGUGCAAGGUUAUACUAAAAAUAUGUAUUAUAAAUAUUUACUUACAUUAUAUACUUUUUUAAUAUAAGUGGAAGGGCUCGUUGGGACCUUUCAUUUAUCCUCCUUCCCCCGUAUCCAUAUAUGUACGAGGUGUCUAUAUAGCAUCUUUACAGUUUUUCUCCUAAUGCUAUCUCUUUGUAGCAUAUUUUUAUGCUGUUUUACAUUUGCUAUUGAUUGAUAUUUCAGAUGCCUUUUUGCUCUUUCUAAUUUCUCCAAAGAAAGCAAUUAAUGCAGUAUCUUUCACCAGAACUACGUAGAACAUUGAAAGAGUCCCGUUGAUUUUGCUAUACCACCAAAUUUUGAAUUUUCCCGUAAGUUACACAAGUUAUGCAUUUUCCAUAAAAUUUUCAAUUUCUCGUGACAUGAUCACCAAAUCGCUACGACCAUUAGGGACAAGAGGUGCAACCGUUUGUACCGGUUACGUGCAUUUUGCACUGUGCGUAAUUUUGAUUGCACACGGUGUAACUUUCUUUACACAUGACGUAAUUUUAGAACAAAUUUUUGUGGGUCUUACAUACGACGUGAAAAUCGAGUUACAAGAUGUGAUCUGAGCCGCACAAAUUUUUUUGACCAAAUCAUGACCGUCAACUGCCACGAACCGUUCCUGCCCCUUUUCCGACCAUUAGCGACUUGCCCAUCAAUCGUGUCAACGAACAAAGAUAGAUUAAAGUAACGGACAACGACUUUGGUUUCUUUUUUUAUUUUUUGUUUUUUAAGUUUUCGUAAGGCAAUGGUAUCAAAUUCGGUUUGCUAUUCAUGUAGUAUUUCAUUUUUAAAAUAGAAAGAAUAAAAGCAAAGGAAGGUUUUCAGAACCAAUAGAAAAAUUUUCAAUUCAAACUCAAGCUUGAACUCCAAUUCAAGUUUGAGGCUAUUCAAGUUUUAGUUUGUGUCUAAUCAAGUACAAUUUAAAAAUUUAAAAUAGAAGACCUUUAAAAUGAUAAAAAGCAGACGUUUUGCUCUUAUGACUACCCCAAAAAAAUUAAAAAAAUAAUAAUAAGAAAAGCAUGUACAUAUAUACUAUGUUGGAAGGAUCAGGGGUGUUUACACUUCGGAGAAAAUCGAAUAAUCAGCCAAUCCAAUUUAGAUUGGAAAUUGGAUAUCAGUAGAAUAGAAUGGGGGAAAACGAAUGAAGAUCCAAUCUUAAAUUUUGGUAAUAUAGUUUGGAAAUAGGUAUUGAAAUUUGAUGCCCGAAUUUUGGAUUACUAACCGAAUUAUCAAAUUUCUUAUUUUGAUUAAAUAUUUUAUAUAUUUCAUGCUUACUAAUAUAUCAUAUUACAUAUUAAUGUAUUUGUCAAUAAUGUUAUUAGUUAUAAUAUAUGUUUAUAAACAAAUAUGUGACCUUACAAGCGUAUUAAUUAACAUAUUAAUAACAUGUAUAGUGUUAAUUACAUAUUAAAUAUAAUUAAUUAUUCUAUAUUAGAAAAUUAAUUUAAACUUUGGAUAUUUUACUGAAAUACCGACUAUUUGGUCAAAAUCCAAUUACCAAUAUCUAAUUACCAAAUAAAAGUUCAGAUGCUAACCUUGUUGAAAAAAAAGGGGAAAAAAUGGAAAUCAAGAUUGGUGUCAAAUAUACGAGGGAGGGGCAGAGCUAUAUGUCGUUGAGGGUGAGCAAUUGUUCUCUCCUCUCCCUUCUCCCAUACCCUCCUCAACUCUGAAAAAAGGGUUAAUUCCACUUUGUCCCCCCAAACUUUGGACGAUUAUCCACUUAAGUCCAUAAACUUCAAAAUGGGACACUUAAGUCUCUAAACUUAUAAAUACCUCCCACUUAAGUCCCUGAACUUAUAAAAUGGGACACUUAAAUCCCUAAACCCUUAUAAAAUGGGACACUUCGACCACCAACAGCAUUCAGGAUUUGUUAACAAUUUUCCUUAAGUGGGAGGUAUUUAUAAGUUUAGAGACUUAAGUGUCCCAUUUUGAAAUUUAGGGACUUAAGUGGAUAAUUGUCCAAAGUUUGGGGGGACAAAGUGGAAUUAACCCCUGAAAAAAUUACCUUUUAAGUUUAGAAAUUUUGAAAAAUUUUAAGUUCCUCCUAAUUUGUCUCCCCUAAAAUUUUAAAAAUUCACAUUCUUAUAUGUCAUGCCACUAAAAUUUUUAAAAUUGGCUUUCUUAUCUAUAUUGCCCCCUAGAUAAUUAAAAAUUCAUAAUUAUUACGCUUCACAAGAUUUUUAAAUUCUUUAUAAAUUAAUCUUUUAUACGCUAACAAUAUGUAAAAAAUAUUAUCCAUUAUACAUGUGAUUACAUACAAUUUAAAUACAUUAGUUAACUCUAAUCAUUGUAGUUUUUCUAUUUGAUGAUUAAGGCCCUAUUUGAUAAUUCAGUUUAACACUUAAAGUUAAUGAAUUCAGAUCUUAACAUAUUCAAACUAUUUUGAUAACCAAAAAUUGAACAUCUGAAUUAAUUAAAUGACACCUAAUUUCUAAGCAAAACUUGCUCUCAAAAUUAAGUAAUAAACUAUUCACUUAUCACUGAAUAUGAUAUGCACUCAAAUGUAUUGGAUUUAAUGCUUAACAAUUCAAUAAUUUAAUAAAUUCAGACUUCAGAGUUUUCAGAUUUCAGCCUUCAGUUUUAUUAAACGCACCCUAAGAUAAAUCUUGGUGUCCAAUAUCAACUAUGUUUUCUGAACAUCAAUGAACUAAAUAUUCCCAUUUUAGCUUACAUUCUGCAGGGAAAAAAAAACCAAUGGUGCCAGAGAUAAAGAGAUAAAAGCAUAUCUUCCAAUUUUUUGUUUAAUAAUUAAGGGAUAAAGUAUCUUUUAGUAUCUGCUUUAUAUUCCAUUGUCUUGUGUUUGAUUGGAAUGCCCAAUGAUUGUUAUUACACCCUACACAUGGCUAUAUGCCUUUGGGUCCAUUAAUUUAUCCGUAUGGUCCCUCAUGCAGUGGACGGCAGAGUUCUUUGUUAAACCAAUUAAAUUUUCUUUUUCUUUUUCUUUUUUUGUACUUUCUUUAGCCUCAUUUUUAAUCAAUUCUUUCUUUUUUUUCAAUUCUGUGGAGCCACGGCCAGUGACAUGUCCCUACCAACUUUUAUGAUUUCUCAGUCUAUAAAUCAAUUCUCAAUUCCUCGUUUUUAUAUAUAGGUCCUUGUAUAUAAUUUCGUACUUGUGUCAGAUUUAGGGAUCGAAUUUUAAACCUGACAAACGGGAGCGAGAAAUAUGUGAAAAAAGAUGAGAGAUUGAAAAAAUUUUAAAAAAUUUAUAGCAUAGAAUACUUAGUUUGAAAUGCCAUUUUAUCCAGUGUUAAUUAUUACAUAAAUAUAUGAAUUAUAUUCGCUCAUCAUUUUAAAAUGACAAAAAAAAUCCAUUAAUCAAGGGACUAUAGUUGAUCAAAUUUUUUUUUAAGUCUCAUGCUAUCAUUUUUUUUUUUUUUUUUAGUUUAAAACUUGAUCGGGAAAAUAUGUUGUUCUCUUAAAAUCCUAUAAUGCCGAUAUUUUUUUUUCUUUUAAGUUGCUAGUUAGCUUUUGAGAUCAUUUCUAUAUUAAUUUAAGUAAAUUUUGAGGUUCUGUAUAUGUUAGUUUAAAUUUAAAGUAGAUAUUAUCAUAUUCAUAUGCAUAAUAUACAGUUAGAUAAUAAUUUACUUAUUACUUGUGUAUUAUUUAUCUAAAUUCACUAGUGUAAAAGAAUUUAGACAUGACUUGUUCUGAAAAUAAUACUUAAAAUAAUUUUCGUAAAGUUUUAGGUACUAUUUUUUCUUUUUCCUAAUUGACGGAUUUUUCCAAUUGGAGGACCAAGUCCUCUCUGUGCUGGAAAGUGGAAACGACAUGCUUGUUGGGAAAUUUUGAACUCGUCAUAUUAUCGUGAGAAUAUGUCUUUCUUGUUCUCGGUCAUUUUCUCAUAUACAAAAAAGGUAAAAUUUUUUAUUUAUCACGAGAAAAUGUCACUUUCAUAACUGGGUGACACUGACCUCUCGAUUCUCCUUUUCUUUUAAUUAUUAUUUUUUCUUACUGAAUAAUUGAGUACUUUCCACAGCCCCAUCUGUCAAUUGUCAACGGCUGGGUUUUUUCUGUUAGUUAAGACUUUUGUUUUAUUUUAGCUAUCUUUUAAAUAAUCAUUUAUUUUCAAUUGGACAACAAAUCUUCGUUGAUCAAAUGUACUAGGUUAAGCGUAUAGGGAUACUGGAGAAAGGAUUCAUUCGAAUACAGAAAGAGGAAUGUAAAAAUGGGAACAAUUUCAACUUAAAGGUAGAGUAUAAACUUUUCUUGAUUUUCAGUUACCUUUGAUAAUAGACUUGCAAUAAAGCCAAGAAGCCAGGUUUUUCCAAUUUUAAAGCUUGACAUGCAGUGCGGGGAAUUGGAAAAACUAAUCCAUUUCAAGAAUGAGAAGUCAGGUUGAGGGUGCGUUUGACAAAAUUGAAAUUUGAAAAUAGAAGUUUGAAGUCUGAAAUAUGAAAUUUGAAUCCAUUAAAGUAUUAAAUUGUUAAGUAUUAGAUCUAAUACAUUUGAGUGCAUAUCACGCUCACUGAUAAGUGAAUAACUUAUCAUUUAAUUUUAGGAGUAAGUUUUGUAUAGAAAAUUCAGUGUCACUUAAUUAAUUUAGAUAUUCAAUUUUUGGUUAUCAAACCAUCUGAAUAUAUUAAAGAUCUAAUUCAAUUAAAUUUAAGUGUUAAAUUGAAUUAUCAAACAGGACUUUAGUCUCAUUUUAUGAAAUUUAAUGAGCAGGCAAUCUAGCCAUCUACAAUUUGAUCUGAAUACAAAGCAUAGACAUAUUAGUGUAAUUCGUAACUCGCAAAAUUCAAGAGACAUAAGUGGCCUAUUUACCUUUAUUUAAAAAAUAAAUCAAAGGUAUUCGCAUCCAUUUUAUGGUCUGCGACUAAUGCUGUUAAAGUCGAGUCAGACUUCCUAUAAGGAAAAGUUCUUCCAAUGUUGUCCUAUUAUACUGUCUAUAACACCAUCAAUCUAGCAUCGAUUUAUUCCUUGUAUUUCAUAUGCUUAUUGAAUUUUGUUAUUUUGGGAGAAGAAAUUGGUUGAGUGGCUCGGGAGGACGAAAUAUAAGUGAAAGAUUUUAGGUUUAAAUCCUAAAAAAAAAAAAAUUUUGUUGCUAUUUUGGGUCAAAACUUUUCUCAAGUCUUUCAAUAUUCCCUUACUCAGCAUUAGCAAAUCAUGUUGUUGUUUUCUAGAGAGGAUGAGAAUCUGAUUUUGCUUGUUCUACUAAUUUCUGCUAAAGUCUCCACUGAUGACUGCUGAGUUUCUCAAGAAUACAAGUGGAAGUGAAAUGAAUACAAAACGACAAAUCCAUGACAUUUCUCAUAACCAUUUUUUCCAUACGAAGCUAGCAUUUUUCCAACGUAUGACGGCCGGCUUGUUUCCAUUAGUUAGUUGCUAAUCCACUCCUCGACCAACACCACACUAAGGCCUAAGCCAUGCCGCCAUUCAACAUUUCAAUUGCAAAUAACGACACCAAAGUAAACCUCCUCCCACCAACCCAAAAAACCCAAUUUUUUUUUUGUUUUGAUAAAAAAGGAGAUGUUAUUCCACAUAUUAGCGAAAUUUUGUAAUAAUACGUAAUGAAAUAGAACACAAGAAGUAAUGUACGGUGAGUAAAUAUCGUUCUUAUUAAGGCAAAUUCUUAAUGCAUAGAAAACGACACGUUUCUCUACUAUUGAAUAAAUUGAAAAUAAAAAAAAAUGAAUAACUAAGAAGAGUAAAAAUAAAAUUGAUAGAUAUUCCCUAAUGCUAAACGCAAUUAACUUUCGAAGUUACUGAAUUUGAUACUAGAAUUCGACACAAUACUGUGGGGAUGCAAAUUCUUACGUCAUACUUUUCUCUUUUUGUUUUUUCCCUUUGUCCUUGCACGCUAAACAUGCACCAAAACGUUUGUUUUUGUCCCUUCAACGUCCAAGUUCCACUUCCAGCUCCACUUUCCAAAUUAUCACGAUAAAAUAAAAUUCCCCCAAUCAUCACCUGGAUCAGUAACCACUUGCCCAUCCCGUGGGCCCCUUAACCCACCUCAGGAGGAGAAAGGUACCAAAAAGCUACAAUAAGUUCAAAAUUACGCCCUCAGCCCUCAUCCUCUCAGGACUCAGGGAAUAUACAGAAACCCUCCCGCCCCCCCAUCCCAAAAAAAUAAAAACCAAUUUCUCCAUUCCCUUAAAAAAAUAUAAUUAAAGUACAUAAAAUUGGCGAAUUAUUUAAUGAUUAUGUAUGAAGCAAGCCAGUACACUCUGGAAAAGCACAAUCCCUUUUUUUUUUUUUUUCCUUUUUAGCAAUUGAAACCGAAAAUUCAAAUUGAAGAUUGGAGUACAAAUUAAUAAGUUCAAUUAAUCUUCCAAGGAGAGAAAUUAAAUUCUUCAUCACAAACGGAGAAACAAAAAAAUAAAAAUAAAAAUCCAAUCAAAUUUCUCUCCCCCAUCUCUAGCUUAAUUUCUCGGAAACUCUGAGAAAUUGAGAAGAGCACGAGAUCAACAACAAUUACAGGAGGGAAAUCGAUCGAUCGACUUCGAUCUCCAUCAUCAUCUCAUCUCGUUCUACUUUGGAUUCGUUUUCGUUCUCGAUCCCUUCAUCGAU
rnacentral:lncRNA from 1 species